AAAAACAAGAUAGGCCCAUUCCUAAUCGAUCCAAAUCACUGACCCGACCUGUCUUGUUCAUUACAUACACCCUUAAACAUUGGGUUUUGUUUCCUAAUCUCAUCUGCCGCUUGAGCUCCAGCUAAAAAUGUUUCCAACUCCACUGAUGAACCUGAGCUUCCUUUUGAAGAUGUUGUGGAUCAUUAAUUCUUUCCCAUGGCCAUAUAGUAAACUACAUCGUAUAUCAGCUAUUAGAAGUAAGUAGUCCGCUCCCUUUUCCAUUAGUCCAGCCACCAUUUUCAACUCUUUAGUAAUCGAUUUCUGUUUUCCCAGCUGUGUCCUCCGAUUGUUGGGAAUAUCCAAAGUUUUUUGGUGCUUGAUUGAAGGGUUUUGACCCCUAAAAGUGCAUAAACAUAUAGGUAAACCUCUUUCUUUUCCUUUUCUUUUCAUCCAUGUUCUUCGUUUCAAGAUAUGAGUAUUAUACUGGUUUCUAUAGCCCUUGAUGAGAGAGAAAUAAUAAGAAGAUUGGGUCCAUAUAUUGUUGUUCUAUGUGUAUCUCUUCAGGUGUUUCUUUUGAAGAUCUGAUAAAACCCUCUCUUUACAAUGCGAGUCCUUUUUGCUGGCUGUAAUAGAAUAGGCUACAUGAAUUUAUACAUCUUUUGUGACUGUAUUUUUGUAUAUAUUGUUAUGCUCACUUAAUGUUUUAGCCUGAACAUCCCUCUUACCCAUUUAAUGAUGAAAUCCUUAUGUAAGGACACUGUAGUUUGUCACUGUUUAAUAUUCCUUUUCCUUUGGCCUGUAGUUGUUGAAAUCUUGUAAAUAUGAACUCUCCUUUAUCAAUCGCAUGAUUUGCUAGAUGUUUUGCUAAUUGGUUACCCUCCCUCAGUAUAUGUUGUGCCUAUAUGUGCUUAUUGCUUAUUAAUCUGCAUAUCUUCUCAACAUAAUUUUUUAGAUACCAUAGACAUGCCCACUCUUUAUUGAUUAUCUUCUGCACAAGUAGUAAGUCUGUUUGAAAUAUUAUUCUAUCAUAACUUGAAAUACUGCAAUGCCUUACUUCUUGUAACAUGGCCAAUAUUUCUUCCUCCACAUUAGGUGUAUCCUCAAUUUUAGCUCAUUGGGCAUAGAUUAGAUCUCCCUUAGUAUCUCUUAGGCAAAAUACAUAACGAAUCCCCCCUGGGUUGCCUCUAGAUGCUCCAUCAGUGUAGUAUUUUAACCAACCCUCUUCAGGAAAUCUCUAUAGUAUUAUAGUGAUCUUCAUUCUGGUCUUACCCUACUCUAAUGCUGUCACAAUAUCUAGCCAGGAUAUAGGAUAUUUUUGAGCCGGUCUUCUCACUUUUAUUAACAUACCAAUGCUCCAAUUAACAUUGUAUAUUAAUUUGUGCAUUGAAAUAACUCUUCCUUCAUGCUUGAUAGAAUUCCUUCUUUUCCACAAUUCCCAUAUAAUCAUACUUGGGACUGCCAUAUAAUAUGCUUGUGUUCCUUUUUUACUCUGCACAUUUUACCAAGGAAGUAUGGCUUUCCUGACACUCACUCCAUUUACUGCAAUACCUUUAAAACAAGCAAAAUUGGACCCAGUUCUAUUAGUAUGUGAAGACUUUAGAAACAUAUGUGCAAUAGUUUCUUGCUCUAGAUUAGUGCAACAGCAAUACCUAGUAGGACCCUACAUACCCUAUCUCCUUAAAUAUUCAUCUAAUGGAACCUUCCCUUUCCAAAUCCUCCACAUUAGAAAUGCCAUUUUGAAAGGUAAUCAUUUUAUCCAAAUGCAGUUAAAUACAUUGCUCUUUGAUUCUCUCUGUCUGACAUACUGCCACGCUAACCUUACAGUAAAUUCCCCUAUAGAUUCCAACAUACAAAUAGGUUUAUCAGCUCCCUUACUUCUUCUUGAAGACUGUAUUUUACUAAUGAUCAUAUCAUUGACAUCAUGACUCACCACCUAAUCUAUCAAGUGUUCAUUCCAGCCAAUAUCACUCACUAAGUAUUUUACUUUCUGAAAUCUGGGAUCCCAUUCUCUACUCUGAUCAGAUAUGGCAUUAAAUUUCCAUAUCUAAUCCAAUUAUCAAACCAUAAACUAGUUUCUUCAUCUUUGAUCUUCCAUAAAAUCUGAUAUUCUAUCAAGUUCCUUGCCUGAAGCAUUUUCUCACAAACCUAUGAUCCAUUUCCUGUCUUCCACAUCACUUCAUUAGGAUGAUUAUUCCUGCAAUACCUGUUAUUCAUAUAAGUGCUCCAUAUCAAACAGGGCCACUGACGCAUCUUGAAUCCUAAUCCACCUUCAUCUUUAGGUAGGCAUAAAGAAUUCCAUCUAACCCAAUGCCUACUUUUUCCAACUAUAUGAAUACUCCAAAAAAAUUGAGCAAACAUCUUUUGAAUAGCAUUCAUAAAAAUUAAAGUGGCAUUCAUUACUGAUAAACAAUGAAUAGCAAUGCUCUGUAAAACAUGCUUAAUUAGAGUUGCUCUCCCACCAUAAGAAAGAAUCUUACCUUUCCACCCUUGGAGCUUAGAACUGAAUUUAUUCAUCAAAGUUUAUUCUUCCUUAUUUAAAAAAUAGGAAAACCCAGAUAAAUGAAUGGGAAUUCCUUCCUGAGAAUACCUAGUGCCAACUCUUCUAUGAGAAUUGUACCUUGAGACACUCCCUUGUGAAAAUAGAUUGCACUUUCUUCUUUAUUCAAUUUUUGCCCUGAUACCCUUUCAUAUCUUUCCAAUGUGCUUGCCACCAUCUUCAUAGUACCCAGUUCAUCCUUGGAUAAGAUGAUUAUAUUAUCUACAAAAGUGAAAUAAUUGAACUUAGGACUCCUCCUUAGUAAUCCAAACAUCCUGGAUUUCUUUUUUUGAAUUAAGGAUUUCAAAGAUGUGGACAUAAGUUCAGCUUCUAUAAUAAAAAGAGUUGGAGACAGUUGAUCACCCUUCUUCAAUCCCCUUUGAGACUUAAAAAAUCCCUUUGGCUUGGCAUUUAUCAAAAUAGAGUACCAAUUAUUAUUCAGUAAUUUGUAAAUCAUAUCAAUGAUUGUUUAUGAAAAUCCUGUCCUUCUUAAAACCUUAGUAAGAUACAGCCAGUCCACCCUGUCAUAAGCCUUCAUCUUUAGGUAGGCAUAAAGAAUUCCAUCUAACCCAAUGCCUACUUUUUCCAACUAUAUGAAUACUUCAAAAAAAUUGAGCAAACAUCUUUUGAAUAACAUUCAUAAAAUUUAAAGUGGCAUUCAUUACUGAUAAACGAUGAAUAGCAAUGCUCUGUAAUACAUGCUUAAUUAAAGCUGCUCUCCCACCAUAAGAAAGAAUCUUACCUUUCCACCCUUGGAGCUUAGAACUGAAUUUAUUCAUCAAAUAUUUGUAACAAAGUUUAUUCUUCCUUAUUAAAAUAGGAAAACCCAGAUAAAUGAAUGGGAAUUCCUUCCUGAGAAUACCUAGUGCCAACUCUUCUAUGAGAAUUGUACCUUGAGACAUUCCCUUGUGAAAAUAGAUUGCACUUUCUUCUUUAUUCAAUUUUUGCCCUGAUACCCUUUCAUAUCUUUCCAAUGUGCUUGCCACCAUCUUCAUAGUACCCAGUUCAUCCUUGGAUAAGAUGAUUAUAUUAUCUACAAAAGUGAAAUAAUUGAACUUGGGACUCCUCCUUAGUAAUCCAAACAUCCUGGAUUUCUUUUUUUGAAUUAAGGAUUUCAAAGAUGUGGACAUAAGUUCAGCUUCUAUAAUAAAAAGAGUUGGAGACAGUUGAUCACCCUUCUUCAAUCCCCUUUGAGACUUAAAAAAUCUCUUUGGCUUGCCAUUUAUCAAAAUAGAGUACCAAUUAUUAUUCAGUAAUUUGUAAAUCAUAUCAAUGAUUGUUUAUGAAAAUCCUGUCCUUCUUAAAACCUUAGUAAGAUACAGCCAGUCCACCCUGUCAUAAGCCUUCAUCAUAUUAUGUUUAAUCACCAUAUUUGGAACCUUGCCCCUUUUCCUGAUUUCAGAAAUAACUUUUUGAACAAUAAAAAUGUUUUCAGCAAUACUUCUCCCCUGAACAAAUCCAACUUGCUCUUCAAAUAUAAUGUCAGGUAAAUACUUCUUUAAUCUCUCAUGAAUAAUUUUAGAAAAAACUUUAUUUACAAAGUAUCUUAAGGAAAUUGGUCUGAAAUCUAAAAUGUCUUAGUUACUAAUUUCUUAGUUCUCCUUCUGCACUUAUUCAUCUGUUGUUAAAUGAACUUUUUCUACUUGUUUAUCAUUCUUAUUUUUGUGAGAUUCUUCCAUUGUGGCUAUUAUCUCUUAUUUUUCUGGGUUAUUUUCAUUUAGUUUAUUACUACCAAAGCUACUAGUGACCCAAUCCUUCGUACUCUGCUUGUCUUGCUCUCUUAUUUUCUCCUUUUUCAAGAACUUCCUCCUGCUGAUUUCCAUUAAUAAUAUCCACUCCCGUGUCUUCAUUUGUUAAUGAUUCAAAAGAAUUAGACAUGUGGACAUCUAUUUUGUCCUCUUUCUCUACCUCUCCCAAUAUAUGUCCAUACUUGUCUUUUUUGUAUUUAUUUCUUCUAGUGAGCCAUUUCUUCUUAUAUCUAUGUAUCCUCCUUCAAUUUUUUAAUACCUUACCUUUUUCUUUAUCUAUAUCUUUUUCCCUUUGUUGACUUGCCUUUUAUAUUCCUCCAUUUGCUCCAGAUGUAAUUUAGGAUGUUAUUCCAAUAAGUAUCUUUAUCAUGACCCAGUAAACAACACUCCUUAUAAUACUUGGGCAUAUAUUCAUAUUGAAUUUGUAACCAUUUAAACCUUAUUUCUCCUAUUGCAUCAUCUUCUUGAUUUAUUCUAGCUCGUUAAGGUAAUUUAGCUACCAAAUCUACCUCUACAUUUACUUUGGCACAACUAGGUCUUGUCUUAUUCUUUGUUUCCAUAUCAACUGUUAGAGGUUUUCCAACAGUUGAAGCUAUUGAAAAAAUUGCCUCUUUAGCAAAAAAAAUUAGAAGGUAAAUCGGGGAUGGAGAUCCAUGCAACCACUAUAGUAGUCUCCACAUCCGGCUCAAACCAAGGAUCCUAUUUUAAUAUUUGCAUCUACCAAAUUCUAUCCUUGGCUUUGAGAUAAUAACAACCAUUGAUAAAAGAUUUACAUCAUCUUCCAUCACCUCCAGUCUAAUAAUAAUAUGUCUAGAAUCAAGAACCCUAGUAGUACAAUCUUCCUUGAUUCCACAUUAAACUAGUAAUAUUUUUCUCAGUUCAUUAAUACUCGGUUUACUAAAAGAAAAUUUACCUAUUAUUGUAAAUUGUAAAUUUUUUUAUAGUAUUAAAUUCUAAAUCUAUGAUGAUUUCUAAGUGAUACUUGGUUCACCUUCAAUCAAUACAAUUGGUUUUAGAGGCACUUUAAUCUCAUUUGUAUUAGCAUUCUUGGGAUUCAACAUAUUAGCGUAAGAUUGUUUGGUUGGUGGGUCAGUCUUAGUCAUAGUUUUAAUGUUUUUCGAUGGUCUAACCCACUGGAUGUAGUGUCCAUAUCCGUCUAUUACAAUAGGGUUUAGGGUUUUCAAGGGAGAGAGUUUUCCUUGGCUAAUUUUCAAAACUUUAGGCUGAGAUUGUUUAAAUAUGUGGUUGCAUGGGAAUGGUCAAUUGGUACUUGGUUUUUGUUUUGGAAACUAUAUGCCCUCAACAUGUUCAGUAACAUACCUAUGAGAAUGGUUAUGUCACAUUGUAUGACUUUUAUUGAAACUUUGCAUUGCAUAAUAUGGUGAUAGAAGCUAAACUGGUUUGGUUAGUUGUAAAGGGAUAGAAAUAGGGGUACAAUGGAAUCCCUAAAUUGAUUGUUUUGGAGUGGAACUUGGAAAUAAACUAAACCCACUUACAUAAUUGAUUUUGGUUUAUGCAUUCGUACUUAGUUUGGUUUGUUCCUUGAAAUGACUACAUGUCAUUAAUGGUUAAUUGGUUAAGGAUUGUUUUAAAAACAUUAUGGGGUACACGAGAAUCCCCCAAGUAGUCUUACAAUGAAAACCUUAUGGGGUAUGUGGGAAUCCCCUAAGUGAUUUUAAUAAAGGAGUCAACGAGGUACAUGGGAAUUCACUAAGUGAUUGGCUAAGGACAUUGUUUAUAAGAUAUAGUUGGUAUGACGAUACCACUUAUUAAUGCCUUAAUAAUUGACUAUUGGAAUUGGUGGUUUAGUUGUAUGUAAUUGAUUUAAUUAGGCAAUAAUGGCGAGUUUGAUAGCUACCUGUGGAGGUGUGAGUUUGAAAGAAUGACUCUAGAAAAUCAUAUUUGUUGAUAUGAGGAUUGGUCUUGAUGACCGCAUACUUGUGGGGUCCAAGGGAAUCCCUAAAGGAUAUACAUGUACAUAUGUAUCAUAGAGGGCAAAGGAUACAAGGGAAUCCUCAACCAUCUAUGCUAUCUCUAAUUCAUGUAGGUAUACAUAUUGGGGCCCAUCUAGGGGAUAAGACCAGACCCAUAUAGCAUGUGGGUGGACCAUGACGGUAAAUCUACACAAACCAGGUUAAAGUUUUAAAUGCAUGUUAAACCUAGUUUCCCUUCCCUACAUGAUAUGUAUAUAUAUAGAUGUAUGUAUGUUAUUACAUAUGGUUAUUUACUUUGACUUUGAAUAAUAAUAUUAUUUUAUCCUUACUCCUAAGUACAUGCUAGUUUACACCCGUUAACCCAUGUUCGACCAUUAUAUCCCCACGCGAUGGAGAAACUAACCAUACUAUCAUUCCUCUAGUAUAGUAACUUAGAUUCGGGGACAGCGUGAGUCAGACUGAAGUAGUGAGCUUUAAUUCUUUGAAAGUCCCAUUUCAUGGUAUGGUUUAUCUUAUGUCCUUACUAUUCCUUUAAUAAUGGAUUUUGGGUAUGGUCGGGGGCAUGUUCCGACUGGAUAUUCCCUGGUAUGGUGUAGAGGCUUUGUAUGGAUAAAUAUGGACUUAGGUAUAGAAUGGCUAUAGUUUUGGUUAUUUUUGUAUUUGGUUUUCUUGUGGUUCAAUUGACUUGUUUGGGUUGGUCUCAGUCAUAGAACUACCCCAAAGUCAUUACAAUUUAAAUUACUCUAUCUUGUUAUAUGGUUGAAAUUUAUCCUACUUAGGGAAUGUGUUGGUUGGUUGGGUUGGGUAACGAGGGUAGUAUCCGAUCUUUGUUGGACUUGAGAUGUCUAUUAUAACAAGGCACUGGUUUGGGUUAUGUCACGUGAUUAUGAUGUUGUGAUUAUUACGGACAUAUUAUUUGGCCAUAGACUAUGAUAUGAUAGUGAUUCGAUAUCUACGGAGUGUUUAUCCUUGUAAAGGAUGUAAUUUUAGUUUAUGAAUAUGCAUAUAUAUUUUUAUAUACACAUCUCUCGGAUAUGGGAUGGAGGAAAUUGUGGUAUGUUUCUUAGGACUUUAUUAAUUUGAAAACUGGUGAUGGCAUGCAUAGAUAUGGUAAAUUCAUGAUUAUUAUAUUGGUAAUUAAUAUGAUUAUAGCUGAAAUACAAUCUUAUGACAUUCUUCAUACUUAUGGGUUAAGAUAUGCGAUAGCUAGUUAUCUUUUAGGUGACUAUAACACUUGAUGGUUAGGAAUAUACAUUCUAGUUAAUGAACCUUGGUAGCUUGAGAUAAUUGAUACGUGGCUAAUAAUGAUGUUGAGGUUAGCAUAGGUGAAUAUUAGUAAUAUUAAUGACUAAGUUUAUGUUGUUGAUUAGUUGUUAAAAAAGGAGUUGUGUAUUACUGAGGCUAGAUAAUAAGAGAUAUUGGUGACAAGAGAUGAUUAGUUAAUAAUGAUGAAUAGUUGAUAAACAAGGAUUAGUUGGUAAAUGAUGGUUAAUUAAUGAAUGGUGUUAGUUAAAUAAAGUUUGUUAGAUGAUAAAUAAUAAUGUAUUGACUAGUAAUGAUUAACAGAUAUAGGAUAAUUAACUAAUAAAAUUGUGUAGUGGUUAAAUAGAGAUUAUAGUCUAGAGAUGAAUCUUGACUAGCUAUUGGGUAUUACCAUUAUUAUAUAAAUAUUAGUAGCUAUCCAAUGAAUAAGGAUUAUAUGAAGGAUAUUGGGUAUUGGCGUCAUUAUAUAAACAUUAGUUGCUAUCCCAUGAAUAAGGAUUACGUGAAGGAAAAUGAUUAGGCAAAUAAUUAGAUAUCAUGUGAAGACUAGUGAAUUGCUAGUUUAAUGAUCAUAAGCGUUUGUUAGCUAAUAACGAAUAGUUUGAAAGUAUUGACAAGUUAGAUAUUUUAUGAUGAUAUGAUUAUGAUUAUGUGUAUAUUAAUAGUCUUGUAGAUUUACCCUCCCUUUGCCACAUCUUGAGCCCCUACACUUAUUAUAUGACAAUAAAUAUAUGUGUACUGAUGUUUUUUAUUAUAUUGAUACUUGGCAAUGCUGGAGAAUAUUGUGAUGAUGAUAUCGAUAACUGGCAAGGCCGAAGGAUAUUGUGAUGAUGAUAUUGAUACCCUCUUAGGCCAGAGGAUAUUGUGAUGAUAAUAUUAAUAACUAACAAGGCUAGAAGAUUUUGUGAUGAUGAUAUUUAUACCCGACAAGGCCAGAGGAUAUUAUGAUGUUGAUAUUGAUACCCAACAAGUUAAGAGGAUAUUUUGAUGAUUAUAUUAAUACCCAAAAAGGUCAGAGGAUAUUAAGAUGAUGAUAUUGAUAUUUGACAAAGCCAAAGGAUAUUGUGAUUAUAAUAUUGUUAUACGACAUGGCUGAAGGAUAUAUGUGCUGAUGUAUUUAUCCCUGGCAAGGCCAAAGGUUGAUUGUACUGAUGAUGAUUAUGAUGAUGAUAGUUAUGAUGGAGAUGGUUAUGAUGAUAAGAUUGUGAUAUUGAUUGCGUACUUUGCAUUCAUUCCAGUUUGCGCAAUGCCUAUUACUAGUAUGCACCUAUGUUUAUCAGCUGAUAUGGAACGGUUGCAUAUAUAUGAGUAAAAAUUAUGCCUUUUGUUGUUGUAUGUUGAUUUAACCACGUUUCUAGUUGUGGGGGUACGAAUAGGCUCAACUAGGUAUUUGGUUAUCCGGAGUAGUAGUCUAUUCAUACUGUUAUUAAUGUUUUUAUUAUCAUCAUUUUAAUUUUUAUUAUUGCUAUCUUAUGAUAGAUUUGUCAUUGAUCUUGCAUCGAGAUCUGAGGUAAGUGUAUAGCCUCUUCUAUCUUAUGAUAACAUUAUUGUGCAUGAUUAUUUCAUGUCUAGCCAUAUGGAUUAGAAACCUUGAGUAUGAUAGCAUCAAAUCUUGAUAGUAACAUAAUAAGAUCUUUAAAUAAUAACAUGAUGAUCUAGGUUAUGGUUGAGAUGACCUCAUGUUUAUAUAUAGCUAUAUGAAGAUAGGGUACUACAAUAUAUCCCUUCCUUUGUUUUUUAUAUUAUAAAGUAAGUUCUUCACCUUAUAUAUUGGUAUAUAUCUUUUUUUCCCUUUAUUCGUAUAUUGGCCUAGGAUAUAUAUAAUAGCAUUAACCUCUAUUGAUUGUGGUUGUAAUAUAAUAGUUCACCCUAACACUUUCUUAGUUUUAUUAUUUUAGACUCUUGGACUUGAGCAAGAUAGUUAAUCCUUAUUAUUCUCAUUGACUUGUUAAAUGAUUUCUGGACUCUUGUUUGUAGAUUCUAUUCUGUUUAUAUGUUGUCUAUAUCAACUAUAUUAUUGGGUCUCAGUUGGUUGUUUCCUACUGAGUAACAUUAGUUUGGUACACAUACUCCACUUAGGUAGCUUGUAGUUCAUAAUACGGGUUAUCGCUGUUGAUGUAUGCAUCGUGCGAAGCUGCCAUGGUCCAGAGACUUAGAGUGAACUCCUGACAUUUGGAUUAUUACUUAUCUCUCUCUUUUGUAUUAGGUUAAUCUUUACAUUAUAUUUAGAGAUAAAUUGUAUUAGUGUAGUUCUAUUGUUAUUUCACUUUUGUACCUUUGUGAUAUUACAAGCUCUUGUACUGAUACCACUAGGCAUUGAGAUACUAUUAUGUAUUGAUCUUUGUUUCAUUUAUUCCGCAUUAUGUUCCUUAUAUUAUUAACUAGUCAAUUACUAGUCGUUAAUGACUAUGGUUUGGCAUACCUACUGGUGGGUUAUGGUAGGCGCCUUCAUGACUUUAGAAAUUAGGUCAUAACAAAUUGGUAUUAGAGCCUAGGUUUAUCAUGUGCAUUAGUACAAGAGCUAAUUGUUAGUAGAGUUGUACAGAUUGGUGUGGAGACAUUCGUAACGUAUCUACAGGAGGCUACAAGAAUAAUUUACGAAAUUCACUUCUUUACUCCUUAUUGUGUCUCCGCAUUCUUAUAAACCUUGAACACAUUCUUAGACCCUAUUCUAUCCUCAAAAGAUGAUACGACCUUGUCAUUAUAUACGGAUGAGACUUUAACACAUGUUUCUAGAGUUUCAAUAUAGCAUCAGACUAGAGAGACAAAGAUAGGUAUCAAAGAUCUUCAGCAACAACCAAAAAAGGGAUUUGGGAAAGCUUAGGCUGUUGUUGAGUUUGUGACUACUUCAGUCUUUAAGGUUCAACAUUGGGAAUUCAAGUCAUGUUGUAGAUCCUUCUCUACCAUGGAUGGUGUUUGAUCAAUCAAGUAAUUCUUAAACCAAGGUUGAUUCUAUUAGUGUUCACAAGGGUUCUCUACCAUUUUUUAGUACGAUAUUGGAUUUGUCGUAUAGUCUAGGCAUUUUCCUAUGCUACAUCCUUCUGAGUCAAAUAUUAGGGCAUGGAUAUUUAAGAGGGUUAGUAUUGUUACACCAUUUGGCAUUAGAGCACUUGAUAACAGUUGAGUCUUCCUUCUAUUAGGAUAUUGAUUAUGAAGGUCCAUAGAGAGCAUAAGUAUUGAAAAUUAUGGAAAUGGCCGCAAGAGGCAUGCCAUCAGUAUAGUACUAUUUGUUUUUUAUUCAAGAGUAAGUAUUCUUCCAAUAGAGUUCAACUUUACCGAUAGCCUAUCAGCUCUACGCAAAUAGUAUUUCAUACUAUGAGAAGUUCUCAGAUUAGUUGUGAUGAUCAUAGUGGGCAGAGUCCCCAUUAGACUUAUUGAGUAUGGUAUGGUUCUUCAAGCCAUGGUGACCAUUUUGGAUUAUGAGGAGCAGUAUAUUAAAGUAUUCUAGGAUCUUAGUUUGGUUGUUGUGUGAUAAGUCCCUGGUUCAUAGAAUUCCCUAGGGAUGAGAUAGAUGAUCUUUUAGAGUUAACAUAUAUUUCCCUAUCAGGCCAGAGUUUUUGAGGCGAGAUAUGCUAGUGGAAGCAUGGACAUAAUCCAAGAGAUUUCUCUCAGCAUCAAUUGGCCAGCCAUUUGUGCUCAGUUUGUGUCUCUCUAUUUAGUGCUUCAAAAGUUUGCUUAGACUAUAGAGAGACCGGCUACUAGUCUAAAAAGUGUCUCCAACAUAGGAUUUCUAGUCAUUCAGCUCAUUCAGAUCAGCCUCAUAAUAUUGUGGCAUAUUCAGUUAGAGGUAGUAUGUAUGGCACCUCAGUUGAGAUUCAGUCGUUCGAUUUGAGUUGGACCCAUUCAGAUUUAUGUUUCCUAUUCUCAUUAGGUAUGUAAUUGCAGAUGUCACCACGAUAGUGUACUUUUGUUUCCCACAUUUAUCUCUUAUUAUGUGUAUUGGGGUUUUCAUACCUAUUGAUGAUUAGAUGCAUUGAUGAAUUAGAUGCAUUGAUGAAUUAGAUUGGUCAUUAUAGGCCUUAUUGUUAAAUUUAUGAUUAUGUUACUACUUUGUGGUUUAUUUAUUUAAGUAGCGGAUGGAGUAGAUCUAUAUGGAUAUUUUCCCCUAUGGGUGUAGUUUUUGGGUUUGAGUCCUAUUUAUCUCAGUACAUUAACCCUAUUGUGACCCUUGAUUGGUACAUGAUAUUGAUGUUCAUUUUGGUACCGCCUGUUCAGUAUCUUGAUUUUGAUAUUGUUAUUGCUAUUUCUACCACCAUAUGAGGCUAUUGAUAUUUUUUGAUAUUAUUUCUUAGUGUAAUUCAUUCUUACUAGUUACUUGUAUAAACUAGUAUUAUCUAGCCAGACUUCUCUUUUCUUGUAAUAUUAUUUGGUGGCCUGAGUAGAUAUAGCCCGAUGUGAUAAUUUUUUCCCCUAGCACGGCGAGAUUGAUCGUGUUCCCUCUUGGUUAGCUGUAUUUGAUUAAUCAAGGGAUGAUUAUAGUAUCGCAGGUAAGUUGAACUUCUGUGGCUCUUUGUGGUUUUUCAGUCGAUAAUUUAGUUACAUUACCCAUUAUCGAGCUCAAGAUUUUUAGACGUGCCUCCUAGGUUGUGAAGGCUUUUGCUUCGGCUAUCCUUUUUUAUAUAACCCAUUUGUUAAAAGGACCAACUUGAGGUCCGUUCUUCAUUGUGACUAGUCCAUUAUCCGAAAAUAAUUUUGAUAUUAAUAUUAAGAUGUCAUGGAUUCAUCUCUUAGAUUUGUUAGGUUGGUUCACUUGUGAUGGGUCGCCCUUAUUGUUAGUAUGGAGAUUGGAUGCUCAUUCCUUUCGAUAUGGUUUUGCCUUAAAUAGAUUUAGAGAAGUAGAGGUAGGUGGUCUUUCUUGUGAUCGCUUCUUAAGUGUGCAAAUUGGAAAUUCUCGAUCUCAAGUUGUUGAUUUUUUGUGGUGGUCUUGAGUUUGACCCUAGUUUUGAGAUUGGUAUUCCUUCUUCGAUGAUAUGAUAUAGGGUGGAUUUGGGGAAACCCUAUUUUAGAGUUUUUAGGCCUAAUAAAGCUUAGUGAAAUGUUUCUUCUUGAUGAUAUAUAUUUGUGUCUAUUCCUUGUGGAGAUGGAGUGUUAGAUUGGUUAGUCAUCGGCUAAAGUUGUAUUUCUAUGAGUUGCUAGAGCUUUUUCCUUUUCUCGUGUGGUUUUAACCUUGGGAUAUUUUUGAGUAUGUUAGGAAAGUUCAUGCCCUUCAGAGAUUAUGGACUGAGUUAUUUAUAUUUCUGACAGUGACUCAUCUUUUGGCAGGAUUCUUAUUUUGUGGUUAUAUUUUGUACCCUGUAGCUGAGAUAGAUUUGGUUGAUUGUAUUCUCAGUCAGUAUUUAUCCUUUUGGUGGUUUUUUCUCUUCAGAUAUGUCUCGACUGUGGAUUCGUAUGAUUUAUCUCAGAAAUGUCAUAUUUGGAUGCAAGAGUCGAGUUGGGAUAAUUGACAUUGGUAUAGCCUUAUCAACUUAGUUUUUGAUUUGAUGCCUUGGAAGUAUGAUAGAUUGAAAGUAUUAAUUCCUACUCGUCUUUAGGUUUGGUUUGGGUAGUUGAGAUCGAGCGAUUUAUCCUUGGUAUUGAGAUUUCAGCUUAGUAUAUUGAGCUUGCAUGCAGCUUUUGUUUUAGACUUGCCUUUGUUCAGAUUUCAUUUAUAGGCUGGUUGAGCCUAAUCCAUAAUUGCCUAUUCAUUCUUCUAGACAUUAGUUGGAUUAUAGCUGAUAAGUGUUUAGAUGAUAGCCCACGGGCCCCAUAUUGGUUAUUUAAGAAUUGACCUCGAGUUGUAUUUUUCUUUGUGAAUUUUAGAUCGCUUACUCGAUGGGAGUAGUAUAGUCAAGUUAGAUUCAGUAUGACAUCAUUCUCUGUGGAUGAUAUAUCAUGGAGUGGAAUAUUUAGUAAUGAGUUGUUCUAUAUUAGAUUUCAAGAUUUUAGUCUAAUUUUCAUCAGUGUUGAUUGUCGUAUUGGCAUGGAUAGCAUUCCUCGAUUAUCUCCAUUUAUGUACCUAGACAGUGCCUUAUGAGUUAUUCCCUUAUUUUUCGUAUGGACAUUCAGUGGAUCACCUUUAGUUCAUUGAGUUCUCUGUGAUGAGACCACAUGGGCAAGACUCAACUGAUUUUCCUCCUGGCUUGGAGUAGAUAGUAUAUGCAAACUGGUAAAGAAAGGUUAUAUUUGGAUUUGGAUUUGGUGGCAUGACUCGUAACUUGGGUUAGCUUUGGCUCAAAUAAGACUUUGUUGAUUUAUGCAGAUAGAGAGAUGGUAUUAGUAUAAUGUGGUUCAGAUGUGCAUGCAUUAGUCUUCUGGUUCAGUUUGAGGCCUGUUAGCGGUUAAGUUAAAUUUUGGCUAUUUGGAGGUAGUAUGAAAGUGCUGAUUAAAAAAGGAAUACCUAUGGAAAAAUCUCUUAGAAGUAUUUUCUCUCAGCUGACGUUAUCUUUAAAUCAUGCUUGGAGCAUGCAGGCCCAGUAUCUCAUCCCUUCGAGCUUUUGAGAUUCUUUCUAUCUAUUGACGUUCGGGGUCAAAAGUCCUUUUACUAGUGGAUAAUGUAAUGACCCUUUAGGUCAUUUUCCAUAUUUAUGCUUAUCGUUAGCAUCUCCAUAACUUCCCUACAUUAUUUAUGACUUGUUGGGACUGAAGGUUUGGUUAUCGGGCUGUAUUUUUGGUUUUUAGAACCAAUUCAUUAUUUAGAAGUCUUCGCUGGUUCCAAAUGGCCACUGGUGAAAACUUAAGAGAAAUGAUCUCCAAUGCAAAUUUUGACUUUGCUAACACAUCUGAAAUAUCAAUUUUAGGAUAGGUAUACCUUUGCUUCUGGUCCCAAUGUACUCGAGGUCAUUUUGACCUAUGGAUUGGAAAGUUAAAAAUUUUAAAAUUUAGGUGUGGGACGCUCAUUUGGUUGAAUAACUUUGAAUUGAAAAUCUAACAUCGCCAACGUGUUUGAAAAGCUGAAUUUAGUAUUGUUACAUAUUUCGUUUGCGGAAAUUAGAUUAUAGGUGCAACCCGAGGCAUUGGCCAAAUCUUGGAAUCAAAUUCCAUGUUUUAGCUGUCAUGUACCCGUGAUGUAGGCCAAGACUUAACGCCUUAUGGACUUAUCUGCGGAUGUUAGGCAUAGUGGAGAUUAGUAAACCUUAGUAUAAUGUUACUUCAUAGCUUAAUGAAAGAUGAUGUACUUUCCCCGGAUAUGAUAUUUGGGUCAAUAGAGAUACUACUUCCUUCUUUAUAUGUUGUUUGACCGAUAGAGAUGUUAUUCCCUCUUAGACUUGAUAUUUGGCUUAUAGAGAUGAUAUUUCCUCUUAGACAUAAUAUUGGGUCCUUAGAGAUAUUGUUCCUCUAACAUAUGAUGUUGGGCCUACAAAGUGCUAUUUCUCUAACAUAUGAUGUUUGGCCUAUAGAGAUGCUAUUCCUCUUAGAUAUGAUGUGUGGCCUAUUGAGAUGUUAUUCCUCUUUGAUAUGAUUUUGGGCUUAUUGAGAUGCUAUUCCUCUUAGAUAUGAUGUUGGACCUAUUGAGGUGAAACUCCUCAUAAGUCAUGUUGUAUGACCUAUUGACAUGAGAUAUCUUAUAGAUGAAUACAAGCUUAUUGAUAUUAUGUAUCCUAGAUGUGAGAUGCCUCCUAUGUGAGAGAUGAUUACAAGCUUAUUGAUAUUAUACCUCCUAGAUGUGAGAUGCCUCCUAUAUAAGAGAUGAUUGCAUGUUUAUUGAUAUUAUUUCUUCUAUAUGUGAGAUUAGUAGAGAUAUACCACAACUUAUAAAUAUGAUUGUCAAUAUCAGUAUUAGAUAUAUAUAUGGGCCUAAGGUUGUGAUUAUGAUGUUGUGAUUAUUUUGGACAUAUUAUUUGGCCAAGGGCCAUGUUAUGAUAAUGAUUAGAUAUCCAACGAGUGUUUAUCCUUGUAAAGGGUAUAAUUUCAACUUAUGAAUAUGCACAUCUAUGUUUAUAUACACAUCUCUCUUGUAUGAGAGGGAGGAAUAUGCGGUAUGUUGCUUAUGACUUUAUUGAUUUGGAUAUUGCUGAUAGCAUGCAUAUAGUUGGUACAUUCAUGAUUAUUUUAUCGGUAAUUAAAGUGAUUAUAUCUGCAAUGUUAGCUUAUGAAUGUUCUUCCUACUUAAGGGUUAAGCUAUGCGGUAGCUAGUUGUCAAUUAGGUUACUAUCGCACUUAAUGGUUAGGAAUCUAUGUUCUAGUUAAUGAACCUUGUGUAGUUGAAAUAUGGUAGCUAGAGAUGGUUGAUACAUGGCUAAUAAUGAUGUCGGGUUUAGCAUAGGUGAAAAUUUGUUAUAUUGAUGACUAAGUCCGUUGAUGACUAAGUCCGUGAUGUCGAUUAGUUGUUAAAUGUGGAGUUAUGUAUUAAUGAGGCUAGAUAAUAAGCGACGUUGGUGAUAAAAGAUGACUAGUAAAUAAUGAUGAAUGGUUUAUAAGCUAGGAUUAGUAGCUAAAUGAUAGUUAAUUAAAGAAUGGUGUUAGUUAAAUAAAGAUGGUUAGAUGACAAAUGGUAAUGUGUUUAGUAGUAAUUAUUAACGGAUAUAGGAUAAUUAAUUGAUAAUGUUGAGUAGUGGUUGAAUAGCGAUUAUGUUCUAAGAUGAAUCUUUACUAAAUGUAGUGUAUUGGUUACUUAUUAUAUAAUGAUUAGUUGCUAUCACAUGAAUAAGGAUUAUGUGAAGGACAAUGUUUAGGUUAAUAAUUAGAGAUCAUGUGAAGACUAGUGAAUUAGUGGUUUAAUGAUCAUAAGCAUUGGUUAACUAAUAACAAAUAUUAGGAAGUAUUGACAAGUUAGAUAUUUUAUGAUGAUACGGUUGUGAUUAUGAGUAUAUUAAUAGGCUUGUAGAUUUACCUUCCUAUUGCCACAUCUUGACCCCGUGAACUUAUUAUAUGUCUAUAAAUAUAUAUGUAUUUAUUUUUAUGAUUAUAUUGAUACCCGGAAAGGCCGGAGGAAUUCUGAUGAUAAUAUUGAUACCCCAUAAGGCCGGAGGAUAUUAUGACGAUGAUAUUGACACCCGACAAGGCCUAAGGAUAUUGUUAUGAUGAUAUUGAUACCCAAAAAGGUAGAAGGAUAUUCUGAUGAUGAUAUUGAUACCCGAAAAAGCUGAAAUAUAUUGUGAUAAUGAUAAUGAUACGGCAAGGCUAGAGGAUAUCGUAAUUAUGAUAUUAAUAUUCGGCAAUGUCGUAGGAGAUUGUGAUGAUGAUAGUGAUACCUGACAAGGUCGGAGCAUCUGUGAUGAUGAUAUUAAUACCCAAAAAGGCAGGAAGAUAUUGUUAUGAUAAUAUUGAUACCUGUCUAGGCCAGAGAAUAUUGUGAUGAUGAUAUUGAUACCCGGCAAGGAUGGAGGAUAUCGUGAUAAUGAUAUUGAUACCCAACAAGGUCGGAGGAUACAAUAAUAUUGUAUUGCUAUUCGGAAAGGCCGGAGGUUGAUUACACUUAUGAUUGUCAUGAUGAUAAGAGUUAUAAUGGAGAUGUUUAUAAUGAUGAGAUUAUUAUAUUGAUUGUGUACUUUGCAUUCAUUCCUCCAUUUGCAUCGCUUAUCACCAGUAUGCACCUAUAUCUAUCAUCCGAUAUUGAAUAAUUACAUAUAUAUGGGUAAAGAGUAUGGAUUGAGUUAUUGUAUGUUGAUUGAACUUUCCGAGUUUGGGUAGUGGGGAUAUGCAUAGUCUCGGAUAUGUACUUGAUUGUUCUGAUUAGUCGAUGAUUUAUGUUGUUACUAAUAUUAUUAUUAUCAUUGUUAUGAUUACUAUUAAGGCUAGCUUAUGAUAGAUUGGUCAUUGAUCUGGUAUCGAGAUCUGAGUAUGGUUUCUUCUAUCUUAUGAUGACAUUAUUGUACACGAUUAUUUCAUGUCUAUCCUUGUGGAUUAGAACCCCUGAGUAUGGUAGUAUUAAAUCCUGGUAGUAAUAUAAUAAGCCUUUAAAUGAGAACAUGAUGAUCUAGGUUAUGCUUGGCAUGACCUCGUGUUCGUAUGUAUGUGUAUAUCUAUAUAUAUAUAUCUAUAUUUAGAUAGGGUACUACCGUAUAUCUCUUCCUUCAUUUUGUAUAUUGUAUAAUCAUUUCUUCGCCUUAUAUAUUGUUAUAUAUCUUUCUUUCGCCCUUUAUUCGUCUAUUGGCCUGGGAUAUAUAGCAUAGCAUUGACGUCUAUUGCUUGUGGAUGGAAUAGGAUAGGUCACCCUGAUACUUUCUUAGUUUAAUUGUGUUAGACUAUAUAUAUAUAUAUAUAUAUAUAUAUUUCUUCAUUUUUCAUAUUGAAUAGUCAUUUACUCACCUUGUAUAAUGCUAUAUAUUUUUCUUUCUCCUUUUAUUUAUAUAUUGGCCUAGGAUAUAUAGCAUAGCAUUGAUGUCUAUUGAUUGUGGAUGGAAUAGGAUAGUUCACCCUAAUACUUCCUUAGUUUUAUUGUGUUAGACUCUUGCACUUGAGAAGGAUAGUUGACCCUUAUUAUUCUCAUUGACUUGUUAUAUGAUUUCUGGACUCUUGGGUGCAGAUUUCAUUCUAUUUAUAUGUUCUAUAUAUCUACUUUAUCUUUGGAGCUCAGUUGGCAGUUGCCUACUGAGUACCAUUAGUUUGGUACUCAAACUACACUUCAACAACCUAUAGAUCUUAGUAAGGAUUAUGUCCAUUGAUGUGUGCAUCAUGCAGAGCAGCCAUGGUCCAGAGACAUAGAGUAAACUCCUGAUGUUUGGAGUAUUACUUAUUUCUCUCUUUUGUAUUAGGCUAAUCUCUAUAGUGUGUUUAGACAUAAGUUGUAUCUGUCAUUGUUGUUUCUCUUUUGUACUCUUAUGAUAUUAGAAGCUCUUGUACUGAUACCACUAGGUUUUAGGAUUCUAUUAUACAUUGAUCUUUAUGUCAUUUAUUCCACAUUUUGUUCCUUAUAUUAUUUAGUUGUCUGGUACUAGCUGUUCCGAACUAUGGGUUGGCUUGCCUACUGGCGCGUUAUGGUAGGUGCCAUCAUGACUUGAGAAAUUGGGUCAUGACCCACCCUUCUCUUAUUUUUCAUUCUUGAAUAUCAAAGAUCUGGAUGUUUUCUUUCUUAAAUAUGCCAUACACAUUUCCAAAUUCACAUUGAAGGAACGUUUUAUGGAAAGACGUUAUAUUUUAACUACAGAACGGAAAAUUAAUUAUCUAUAUCAAGUUAUUCAAGUUCGGGUUCUAAUGGGGCACUAUUCAAAGGCUUCUCAGAGCAACAUUUUAGCUUUGGCAUCAAGGUAGGUUAGGUUUACCCUAUAUUUAUAAUAAGCUCAUUUGCAAGAAUUGUUUUGUAUUAAGUGUUGCAAUGGCGCAGUGCAGUGAGGGUGUGGUGUGGAUUUAUUUAUAAACCCGCGAAUUUAAAAACAUCACUACACCACACCUCAUCACUUUGUAACCCACAUAAACCCGCCCCACCUUUAUACCCACACAUAUCCACCCACCUCACCCCACCACACUUUUUUCUUUUUUUCUUUUUUUAAAAAUUUGUAACUCUAUUGGAAUCCACAAUAUUUUCAAGUCCUUCCUAUAGAUAAAUUAAAUACGCUAUGCACAACAGAGUGAUUUAGUAAGGAAAAACCUUUAAACUUUUGUUUGAUAUUUUGAAUUAUAAAAUUAUUUUACUUAUUUGAAAAGAAAAAGUUAUGAAAUUAUUUAUUUAUAGUGUUAUAUAUGUCGUUUAAAGUAUAAUAAAAUUUUAAGUGAAGAAUACAUAUAAUUUUAGGCAGACUCGCGUGAAUAAUACCAAAUUUUAGUUUUUUUCUAAUUUAAACCCAUAUAUACCCCCAAUCUGCCCCUCCCCGCACCAUUUAAAAUGAACUUACUCCAACCCGCCCCGCAACUAUAUAUCCUAAUACCUGCACUGCCCCACAUACCCUAAAACCCACACCAUAUUGAACCCGCACUGCCCUAUUACCAUUGAUAUGUUAUUAUGCUAUUUUGGGCAGGUAGUUGUAAUUUUUGCAUCUUUUGAAAUAUCCCAUGCCAUAUUUAUCCAAUUAAGAUGCUAUUUUAGUAAAUUAGUACCGUUAUAUUUUUGUAUGAUGUAGUAUUUAUGAGCUUGGGGUGUGGUAUUAAGUUUCGAAACCUUGGAUUUAUCCCUAUUAACUAAGUUAUGUCAAUGUUUUUUUAAAUGUAUCUCAGUUACGAUUGAUGUCCAGCAUAUAGUUUAUUUUUGUCAAUUAUUGUGAACUUUGGCAUCGGUUAAGGUUUGGUCUACUUUGUAAUUUUACAUAUGGGUUUUAAUGACCCUCUAAGUUAUUUUCAACAUUUUUGUUCAUGUUAGCUAUUUAGAGCUUUCCUAUGGCUGCCUUAUGCCAUUUAUAUCUUGUUGAAGAUGAUAGUUCAGUUACUAGAUAGUACAAUUGGAUUUUAGAGACAAUUGCCUAUUUUGAAGUCUUUGCUACUACAAUUAGCUGUUGAGCAAACAUUUUAGUCAAACAAUUUUGUAUGCAAAUUUUAACAGUUCUUCAAAACAUUGAAUUUAGGAUAGGGAGACUUUUGGUUCGGUUCAUGAGGCUUUCGGACUUAUUCUAGUCUAUUGGCUGAAAAUUGAUAAAAAAUGGCCAAUGGGUAUGGGCCCCACAUUUUAUCUAAAUGAUCUUAGAUAGAAAUUUUUACUGCAUCAUUUAGUCUAAAAUGUCGAAUUUGAUAGGGUUGCAUAGUUUGUUUGUGUUAAUGAGAUUUUACUUGAAUCUCAAGGGGUCGUGAAAACUUAGAAUUUUCCAUGUCCCAUCUGGUGCACCUCUCAGUUGGUGCAUCAGCUUAAGCGACUCUUGGGUUGCUUAAGUAGAGGCCACUUAAGCAACCAUGUUUUCUAGUUGAAGGUCAUUUAAGUAGAGCCUUGUCCGUUUAAGCGGUUGUUAGUUUUCUUAACCGAUGGUGUGUAGGUAGGUGGGUACCACUUAAGAGGUCUAGUGACCACUAAAGAUACACCUAUGUGGCAUUAAAUUUCUCUUAGCUCAAUUUUCUCACAAUUUUUCCACAAGUACAAGAUAUUAGAGUCCUAGAGAGUGUGAAAAUUAGGGGAGCAUUUAUUAGAAGAUUUUGGGGUAAUUGUGAGCUCGGGUUUCUCAUUUAUUUCUCAAAUUCUUGGUAUGUUUCCAUUAAAUUCAUUUUCUCAAUUAAAAACCUUUAAACUUUUGUUUGAUAUUUUGAAUUAUAAAAUUAUUUUACUUAUUUGAAAAGAAAAAGUUAUGAAAUUAUUUAUUUAUAGUGUUAUAUAUGUCGUUUAAAGUAUAAUAAAAUUUUAAGUGAAGAAUACAUAUAAUUUUAGGCAGACUCGCGUGAAUAAUACCAAAUUUUAGUUUUUUUCUAAUUUAAACCCAUAUAUACCCCCAAUCUGCCCCUCCCCGCACCAUUUAAAAUGAACUUACUCCAACCCGCCCCGCAACUAUAUAUCCUAAUACCUGCACUGCCCCACAUACCCUAAAACCCACACCAUAUUGAACCCGCACUGCCCUAUUACCAUUGAUAUGUUAUUAUGCUAUUUUGGGCAGGUAGUUGUAAUUUUUGCAUCUUUUGAAAUAUCCCAUGCCAUAUUUAUCCAAUUAAGAUGCUAUUUUAGUAAAUUAGUACCGUUAUAUUUUUGUAUGAUGUAGUAUUUAUGAGCUUGGGGUGUGGUAUUAAGUUUCGAAACCUUGGAUUUAUCCCUAUUAACUAAGUUAUGUCAAUGUUUUUUUAAAUGUAUCUCAGUUACGAUUGAUGUCCAGCAUAUAGUUUAUUUUUGUCAAUUAUUGUGAACUUUGGCAUCGGUUAAGGUUUGGUCUACUUUGUAAUUUUACAUAUGGGUUUUAAUGACCCUCUAAGUUAUUUUCAACAUUUUUGUUCAUGUUAGCUAUUUAGAGCUUUCCUAUGGCUGCCUUAUGCCAUUUAUAUCUUGUUGAAGAUGAUAGUUCAGUUACUAGAUAGUACAAUUGGAUUUUAGAGACAAUUGCCUAUUUUGAAGUCUUUGCUACUACAAUUAGCUGUUGAGCAAACAUUUUAGUCAAACAAUUUUGUAUGCAAAUUUUAACAGUUCUUCAAAACAUUGAAUUUAGGAUAGGGAGACUUUUGGUUCGGUUCAUGAGGCUUUCGGACUUAUUCUAGUCUAUUGGCUGAAAAUUGAUAAAAAAUGGCCAAUGGGUAUGGGCCCCACAUUUUAUCUAAAUGAUCUUAGAUAGAAAUUUUUACUGCAUCAUUUAGUCUAAAAUGUCGAAUUUGAUAGGGUUGCAUAGUUUGUUUGUGUUAAUGAGAUUUUACUUGAAUCUCAAGGGGUCGUGAAAACUUAGAAUUUUCCAUGUCCCAUCUGGUGCACCUCUCAGUUGGUGCAUCAGCUUAAGCGACUCUUGGGUUGCUUAAGUAGAGGCCACUUAAGCAACCAUGUUUUCUAGUUGAAGGUCAUUUAAGUAGAGCCUUGUCCGUUUAAGCGGUUGUUAGUUUUCUUAACCGAUGGUGUGUAGGUAGGUGGGUACCACUUAAGAGGUCUAGUGACCACUAAAGAUACACCUAUGUGGCAUUAAAUUUCUCUUAGCUCAAUUUUCUCACAAUUUUUCCACAAGUACAAGAUAUUAGAGUCCUAGAGAGUGUGAAAAUUAGGGGAGCAUUUAUUAGAAGAUUUUGGGGUAAUUGUGAGCUCGGGUUUCUCAUUUAUUUCUCAAAUUCUUGGUAUGUUUCCAUUAAAUUCAUUUUCUCAAUUAUUUCCCAAAAUUCGUAGAUUAUUAGUGGGUUGAUUUAAUCAUCAAUUGAACUCGGAAUUACCCAUUCUUGAGGGUAAAUAUUCUUUAAACAUAGAAGGAUACGUUGACAGUUUCGAAAGUGUGAUUGUAUAAGUAGGUUCCACAUGAGAUUUUUACAUGAUUUUGGAUACAAAGCAUAAACUACAAUAUGGGUACCAUUGUUUUUGUAUUAAUGAGUAGAUUAUUAUUUUGAUAGCAUGCCAUCAUUUGGCAGCUUCUUAUCAAGGAAAAUCGAUGAUUUAGUAAAUUUCACCAAACUUUCUUUGGCAUUAAGGUAGGAUAGGUUUCCCUUUCUCAUAUAUUGGGCUUAUUUAUAGUAUAUUUAUGAUAAUUUGCUAGAUAUGGCUUAAAAAUUAGUUAUUAGAGGUAAAUCCAUUAUAAUUUACAUUUUUAGCCGAUUAAGAAAUCGUAAAUUAGGCAUAUUUGACUUAGUUACUCAUUCUUUAGGUUGAAUUUCUACCUAUGACUAAUAUGUGUCUUAUUUAAUAUAUAAUAGUCAGUUUAGAAUUCUUAGACUUGUUAGGGGUAGAAUUAGCCUUAGAAUGAAAUUUGGGUAUUAGAAAUGGGCCCCUCCAGCCCGCCUUAGGCCUAGACUACUACUAUCUCCCUGUAGGAUUAAUGGACAUGUCAUAUUUUUUACAUUUGUAUUUAAGAGGUUUAAGAGAUUAGAUAAAUGAUGACUUAUGCUAUAAUGUUACUUGGGAGAUGAUACUAGUUCCGCUUCGCGUCCAGUAAUUAUGAUCUUAAGACCAUUUUGAUUCUAGCAUUGAUGAUGAUAUGAGUUUCGAUUCAAGUUCGGAAAAUUAUAAUAUGAUUUUAGGUUCAAGUACGAAAUUGUAAGGUUAUUUAUGAUGGAUAUGAAACCGGUUUGAGUCUGGAGUUUAUGGUAUGGAAGUAUCCAUGGUUAUGCCUUUGAGAAAUAAUUAUUUAGUAUAUUUUCAAUUAAUACUUCUAUUGAUUGCACCCUCCGGGAUUAUAAGGGACUGCAUUGGGUUAUUUACUUUUCACACUUACUAUGUUAUGGGGACCAAUUUUGUAGUGAUAGUUAUGUUUUUUUUCCUGUUAUUGUUAUUCCAAUUAUUUAUUUAUAGCAUUGAAAGCAUUUUUCUAGAUUUGCUCUCUUACGUUGACUUAGUUUAUUUAUCUUAUAUUUUUAUUAUAUUUAUAUUAUGAUUUUUCUUAGUCGGUUGAUGAUGUCUAUUGAGUACCAUGUAUUUGGUAAUCAUACUACACUUCUGUACAUUUUUCGUGUAGAUUGAACGUUUAGUUGUCGUCGUUGAUGGUGCGAUUGUGCUGAUUAGAGUUUGGAGACAAGGUAAAAUCUCAAAUUUAGAGCUGACCUUUUCUCUUUCUUCUAUUUUUUCUUAGCCUUUUCAUCUUCAAUACUGAUGUUAUUUGACUAUUAUCUUAAACGUAUUCUUUUGGUUUAGUGGCUCUUGUACUCACACUACUAGGUCGUGGGAUCUUGCUAUAUCUCUUAUUUAUCUUCCAUCUUAUUAUUGUUCUGUAAUUUAUAUUUGUAUGCUCUUACUUACAUAUUUUGGUCAUUUAUCCAAAUAUUAUCCCAUUACUUUAAGCUCCAGGCUAGGAUUUGGCUUACCUACUAGAGGAAUAAAGUAGAUGCCACAUGACUUGUAAAUAUGGGUUGUGACAAAUUGGUAUCAGGGCCCUUGGUUCACUAUUAUUGUUGGUACACGAAAAAGUGCCUAGCAGAGUCCCACAUAUCAAAAUAAAAACGUCAAUUCUUAUCUUUGGGAGGCUAUAGGACAUGCUUAGUAGAUCUUUACUUCUUUCACUUAUUUUGUACUAUGAAUUAGAGUUGUUUUGCAAAGAUUAAUUUGGUUUCACUUUUUCAAAUAUUGCUAGGACGUGUUCUAUUGCUACACGAGAAGAGGACCCCAAGUCAAUGACUAGGUAUUCUAUCAUAAUUUAUGGAUGACCUAGAGAAUUAGGACAAUUGAAAGAUAUAGACCCAACCAGAGACCAAGAUAAGGGGCCUUCAACAUACCCUAUUCUUAAUCCUGCACCAUAGAUUCCUUCACCCUAGCUAGUGGUGGGCGAGGGACCAACCUAGGCUUUAUUGGGUUUUAUUUCAUUUUCACUGCUCAUGGAAGCAGUGGUUUAGCUCUUAGGAUUAGUUGGUAGUUCCCUAUCUAAUAGUGCAUAGUAUGUGGAUCAGAGUGGUAUUGAGGUAGGAGCGCAACCUAUAGUUUUGACUCCGAGAGUUGAGGUACCUCCUGCCAUAGUGGUUUCUCAAAUGGGUAUUGCCCUACCAACUACUUCUGUUAAGAUGCAUAAUAUGUUUCGUUGAUUUUUAUGAUUGACUCUGUCGAGGUUGUCUGGUGCACUGGGCGAGAAUGCUUUAGAGUUCUUGGUUACUUGCAAUGAUAGGCUCCGUAAUUUAUACCUAGUUGAGACUCAUAGUGUAAUACUGGGUAGAUUUUUGUGAUUGACUCUAUUGAGGUUGUCUAGUGCACCGAGCGAGAAUGCUUAUGAGCUCUUGGUUGCUUACGAUUAUAGGCUCCGUAAUUUAUGCCUAGUUGAGACUCAUGGUGUGGAUUACACUACUUUUUAAUUGGAAUUGGCAGCCUCACACUAGUGGUAAGGUCAUGGUUCUUGGCCAGUUAUAUCUCCUUUAUACACAGACUCAAUUCUCUAGGGUCUUCCCGGAGAAGUAUAUGCCUUGUAGCCUCAAAGAAUGCUUAAGAUACCAAUUACCAAAGUUUGGACAGGACUCUAUGAUUGUUGUGAAGUAUGAGGAUCAAUUUAAUGAGUUAAAUAGGUAGAUUUUAGUUGCUACUGGUAGAUCUUUUGCUGAGAUUUGUUAUAAUUCUCAGGUUAUAGAGGAGAUGUAUAGCGAGGCCCAAGGGGGAAACAAUAAGAGGACGCAAUAUUAGGGUAGUUUCAAUAGGAGUCGUAGUAGAUCAUGGGUCAGAGGACGUGAUUAUUAGGGUAGGAAUCCUCUGAAUUAGCCUUAUUGUCACCACGGUUAGUCUAAUAGGACCGUUCAUAGCUCAUCCUUUGUGGGGUUCAUCUUAUGGGUAUUCUAUCCAUGGUGGUUACCCUAGGUCAGCCAAAUUUUUGGGAUUCCGUACAACGCCAGGGGCAUGCUAUGGUUGCGGGGCCUUUAGCCAUUUCUUAAGGGAGUGCCCAGUCGUGGGAAAGUUGUUCUAGAAUCCUAGAGUGUUACGCCAAUUUAGGUAGCACCGCCCCCAGCUAAAGGUGGUUGGUAUAGCCAUCGAGGGUGGUCCCUAGGAAGUUUGUGGAGGUCUUAAGGAAGGUAGGUCAAGAGAUUAGUCAGGCACCUAAUUAGGUGGCAGGUACGGUUAGUUAUAUGUUAUACCUAAUAGAACCGAGGUAGUAUCUUUGGAUGUUGUUAUUAUAGUUAUGAUUUCAGUUUGCCAUCAAUCAGAUUAUGCUUUAUUUGAUCUGGUAUCCACCUCCACUAGGGAACCGUUAUGCUGGUUCGAGGAUGGAAGCAUUGCUUACAAUGUUGGUUAAAGGUUUAUAGAGAAAAAAUAUUUUCCUUAAGAAGAUUAAGGUAGAUAUUUUAGGACUGGGCCAGAAAGUUGAAUCAUUUUCUACUACGAUUAAGCAGCUUGAUCAAUAGUUUAGUCUGAUAUUGGCUACUUUGAAUCAGCAUCAACUAGGAACUCUUCUGAGUAAUAAUAUUCAAAAUCUAAAGAGUCACAGUCACUGACUAUACAUCACCACUCAUAGUGGUAAGGCUACUAUUGAUCCUUUUCUGCUUUUGGAUACUAAGGCAAGGGAUGUUACUAUUGAUCUUGAAAAUACACCAAAAGAUAAAAUUGAGAAGUUGUUGACAAAUGGUAAAACAUCACAGAAAUUAUUAGGCGUUGAAAAAUUAUUUGAUACUAUAAAGGAAAGGGGAAAGUGGUCAAACCAGCUUUGAAGACCAUUCAAUGACCUACCAAACCUUUUUCUCAAAUGUUGACAUAGAAAUAGGAAGAAGGGGAGUAUAAUAAGAUUAUUGGUAUGCUGUAGAAGUUGAGUGUGAACAUCUCUCUUUUUGAAGCACUUAAGUAGAUUCCUCACUAUACAAAGUUUAUACAGGAUUUGGUGUCAAAGAAGUGAACUGUAAGUCAUGAGAAUGUUGGUCACUUGCAUCAUUGCAGUGCAAUUAAAUCUAAGUCUCUUGUCCAAAAAAGGUGAUAUUUUAGCUUUUACUAUUCCCUGAACUAUUCAAACAUCUAGGUUUUUCCAGGGCUUUGUGAGACUUAAAUGUAAACAUUAACUUGAUGUUGAUAGCAGUGUUCAAAAAAUUGGGCUUGAGACCACCCGAGCCCACGAAAGUGUGUUAUUAAUGGAAGAUCAUGCAAUUAAGAAACCUGUGGUCAUAUCGCUUGAUGUUUUGCUCAAAGUGGACACCUUCAUCUUUUCGGCCAACUUUGUUGUCUUUGAUUUUGAGGUUGAUUUUACGAUGACCAUAAUAUAGAAAGAGUUUUUAGCCAUUGGUGGAUCAUUGGUGGAUAUGGAAAGCGGUGACCUUAAGUUUAAGUUGAACAAUAAAGAAGUCACAUUCAAUAUGCGUAGAAAAAUAAAGCAUCCGACUCAUAUGAGGGUGGUUUUAAUAAUAAACAGUCUCCUAGAGGUCAACCCUAUGGCUACCCUAAUGAAGUCUUAGUAAUGAAGGUCCCUAUGUCAUACAACAAUGUUAAAUUAGGCGCUUCUUGGGUGGUAAGUGGUAACAAAGGUAUUUUGUAAAUUCUGUGUUUGUGAAAAUAUGUGUUAUUUGUGAUUAAUAUCAGAUCUAUGCACCUAAGGAGCCAUAGGUAUGUUCCUAACUCUUUUUAUUUGUAGUGGCCAAAUGCAUUGGGGAUAAUUCAUGAUUAUUUGAUGGAGGUAGGUAUACUUGUGGGUCUAGAUGUCUUCUUGAGGUUUUUGUUGCCAUAUCUCUUUUUCCCAGAGUAAGAUUGUAGUAAAUCCGACAUGUUUAGGUUGUGUAUGUGUUGUUUUUUGUUAUUUUUCAUUUAUGUUUAAUUCGAAGAAAAAUAAGGAAGCUAAGUGAAACUGACAUUUUUUUCUUUUGUGUUUUGAAGUGUCUUGAAAGAAUGAUACCCCUCCAAAAGUUUUGUGAACUGUGUGUCACGGCCCAAACCAGGGCCUAGUUGUGACAUUUAUCUCAAGACCACUAUGGACCGGAGACCAUCCCUUUAGCCUAACCCCAAGAGCACAAUAAUAAUCAAGAGGAACCCAAUCAAGAUAGCAAUAAAAGAUAAAUAAGUCAAUUGAAAGUUCUAAGAGUCAAAACCAACAAUCCAACACACAUUGUCCAUAAAAGCCUCUAAAACCGGAAUACCAACUGAGUCGAGAAAUGACCCCGAAUAUGACCAAAAAGAAAAUAGAAAAUACUAGAACAGUAAUGAAACUAGUGAAAGGACCAGACCUUCAAAAAGAUGGAAGCUCACCACCUCACAACAAAUCCACAGGAGUACUCAGCCACCUUAUGCUACACAGGAGCAAUAUAAAACCCUUUGGACUCUAUAUUGUAAAACUAUAUAGUGUCCAUGGACGGUUAGUGGGAUAAGCACUGACAUUUAACUUUGGGAAAGUGAUAAUAUAAUGUUAAUUCCCUAAACAAUCAAAACUAUAUAUACAUAUAUAGGAUGCCGGGAUACAGAUGGGGCCAUGAACAUAACAGUUUAAACAAAUAACCUUAACUAUGUAGCUCGCUUCAUCCUAAAGGCACUAACAGUAUAUAUGGGUAUAGCUCACAACGUUGAAAAGGCCCCAAUGUGUGUAAUCUGUACAAACAAAGGAAUCUGAAGAAAGGGAUAAAGACACCAAGGUUCUAUCCACUCGAGAAUAUAAUGUGUAAACCAUGAACAAGGCCAUACAGAGCCCCACGGUGGAAAACGUGGUUUCUAGUGUUAGUCUUUCUUGGACUACGCCUUCACAGUGAGCUACAAAAUUCUAUUUAUACCCAAUUUAAAAUAAUUUUCACAUAAACCCAUCCAUUAACCGAGGAGUCUUAUAUUAAGACAUUUAUCACUUGGUAUGAUCAUACCAAUUAUUUUUUCAAUCUAAUCAAAUUAUGUCAAGACGACACCAUUUAACCAAAUUGAAUACCAAGUUCUAUUUAAAAUCCAAUCCAUGGACACGAAGAGCCUUUCAAAUACAUUUCAACCAAUUACCCAUUAAUGCAAUGCAUAGAGUUUAUAAAUAAAUUAAAUUAUGCAAUUAUCCAUGUUAAAAAAAAAACAAAAUUUUAAAAGUGGGUUGGGGUUAAUGUCAUUACCUAGCAAGAAAGUCAUCAAUUUUGGGAAACCCAUGUCCCCCAUUCGCAUAAUAAUGCACCCAUUCAGUACCAAAAACCAUAAAUUAAAGCAUAAAUCAUCAAUUUAAAACAUGGGAAAAGUAAUUCAAGUGAUACCAAUCAAAACCCCUCAACCUAGUUUCCAAACCCAUCAAUUCAAAUCAUAUGGAUAAUGAGUAAAAAUGUACCGUAAUCUAAAAUUUAAGUUAGGGAAUGAAAUAUGCUUGAAAUACAAAAGGAAUUGAAGACAAUUUGAAGUUUGGAGCUCGGGUGAUGAAUUCACCGUAGAACCCUUGAAUGUUCUUGGGUUUUGAGUUUGAGAAAGAAAAAGAGUUGUUUGAUCUUUGAAAACUGAAGAAAAUGGGGUUGUUUUAUGUUUAAAGAUCGUACAAGCCUACUGGAGUAAAAAGACAAUAAGCCCCUUAUCCCAAAAAAAAAUAAUAACUUGAUGAAAUUAAAACAUUGACGUGGCAUGCCGUUAUCACAGAGUGUAACCUCUGUGCCAUGCUAGUAUUAUGGAGGCUAACCUCCAUGACACGCCAAUAUCAAAAACCCUCACUGCCUUGAGGUCCUAAAAUGACCCGAACCCCUUCAAAAAAUUCUAAAACUUUCCCAAAUUACCUUUUUAAUAUUCCUAAAACCAUUGAAAUUUUUGAGGGGUUGUAUAUUACCCUCUUGCCCUUUAGGAUCAUUUGUCCUCGACUGAGGAUUCAGGCUAUUUUUAGCAUGAAACUCCCAAGAAUGUACUAGAAUCAAAUGACCAAUUUCAAAAUGCGACAAGAGAAAACAAAACUUAUACCACAAGCACUCUCAUCCAACAUGGAGAACAAGAAUGGGUAUUUGGCAUUCAUAUCUUCCUCAGCGUCUCAUGUAGCUUCUUCCACCUUUUUAUUUAUCCAAUGAACUUUUACCCGAGCUACAUCCUUCCUACUCAAUCUAUGAACUUGCGUAUCUAAUAUCUCGACCGGUGCCUCCUCAUAAGUCAAGGAAUUUGUUACACCAACAUCCUCAACUUGCACUAUCAAGGAAGGAUCACCCGCACAAUUUUUUAGCAUAGACACAUGGAAAACAAGGAGUAUAGAAGGAAAACUUGUUGGUAACUCUAACUCAUAAGCAAAAAUCCCAAUCCUUCUUACAACCUAAUUUUACAAAUAUAAUGGGGGGAUGAGCUUCCCCUUCUUCACAAACCUUAUGAAUCCUUUCAUAGAAGACACCUUCAAGAAUACCCAAUCAAUUACUUCAAAUUCUAACUUCCUUCACCUCAUAUAUGCAUGACUUUUGGCAAAUUUGGAUAGUCUUAAGUAUUUCUCUAAUCACUUUCACCUUCUUCAUGGCUUGGUGAACCAAGUCACGACCAAACCCUAGUCUCACCUACCUUAAACCACCCUAUAGGAGACCUAUACCUUUUACCAUAGAGAGACACGAAAGAAGCCAUUUUGAUGCUAGAGAGAUAAAAAUUACUAUACACAAACUCAAUAAGAAGAAAAUGGUUAACCUAAAUGCCCUUAAAGUCAAUCACAAAGGCCCUUAGCAUAUCCUCUAAGGUUUGAAUAGUCUGCUCCACUUGUCGAUCUAUUUAAGGGUGGAAAGCGGUUCUAAGGUUCACAUGAGUACCUAAACCUUUCUGAGACAAAUGCCAAAAGUGAGAAGAAAACUACAUAACUUGAUCUGAAAUGAUGGACACCAAAACACCAUGCAACUUAACAAUCUCCUAAAUAAACUACUUAGUAUGAUCCACUCCUGAGUAGUUAGUCCUCAUAGGCAAGAAGUUAGCAAACUUAGUAAUUCUAUCCACAAUUACCCAAACAAAAUCAUACUGAUUGCGAGACUGCGGAAGGCCAAUAAUGGAAUCCAUAUUGAUCAUCUCCAACUUUUACAUAGACAACUCUAUAUCUUGAGAUAUGCCACCAGGCCUCAAACGUUCAAACUUCACUUGCCGAUAAACCAUACACUUAGCUAUAAAGUUUUCCAUAUCUCUCUUUAUAUUAUUACACCAAUAUAUUUUAUUCAAAUCAUGAUACAUCUUCAUCGAACUCGAAUGACUGUAUACCUAGACUCAUGAGCCUUAGCCAAAAUCCUUUUCCACAGCCUAUCAACAUUAGGAAAAGACAACCUACCUUGAUACCUUAAGAUGCCAUCUCCCCCAAUCUCAAAAGCCAUAACCUUUUACUAACCCACAUCAUCCUUAAUCUGCAUAAGUAUGGGAUCUAAAACCUAUUUCUCCUCUACCUUAGCACCAAGAGAUGAUUUAACCGCUUCCUGAACAAUUACUUCUCCAUCCUCAGAGUCCAAAAGAUGAAUUCCCAAGUUAGCCAACCUGUGAAUAUCCUUCUUUAACACUUUUUUCUCCACAUCCACAUAAGAUAAGAUCCAUAUGGACAAAUUGCUAAGAGCAUGAACAACUACAUUAGCUUUAGCAGGAUGGUAGUGAAAGAUUAUGUCAUAAUCCUUAAGUAAUUAAAGCUACCGCCUUUGUAUUAGAUUUAAUUUUUCCUAAGUAAACGUAUACUACAAGAUCUUAUGAUCUGAUUAAAUAUCCAUAUGCACCCCAUAUAAAUAAUGGCAGUAGAUCUUUAAGGAAAAUACCAUAACCGCCAACUCUAUAUUGUCAGUUUGGUAAUUCCUCUCAUGAAAUUUAAGUUGCCUAGAAGCAUAACCCAUAACCUUAUUGAUGUUUUGGAUUUUGGUAGAACAUUCUACAUCUUUUUCAAGGGAUAAGUGUACGUGUUCAAGCAACUUUUUUUGUAUUUGAUACUGGGUUCUAGUGUUUUCAGGUCAAGGAUUUAGCUGAAGAAGAAACUUGGAAAUGUAGAAGAAAAAGGCCACUGACGAUCAAACUGGCGAACUGUCAGGGUGACCAUCAAGGUUAAUCAGACCUCUAAUGAUCCAUUAACUUGGCCAUCAGGAUGAAAUAGUGUAUGGAAUCUCAGGUCAUCAAGCGAUGGUCUACAUGAUAGACCGUCAGGACAGUGAAGACCUAUCACCAUGACCGACACCCCUUAACCAAAAAGUGGCCGUUUGGGACCAUUAGCGACGGUUCAUGUGAUGGAUCGUCAGGCUUCUGACAGGCCUUCAACAUGACCAUCAACUUUUAUGUGGCUUUAAUAAGUUUAAAUUUAAAAUUUCCAGUUCCUGGGAACAUAUAAAUACCUAGUUUAGGUUUUAUUUAGGUAUUUUUUUAUGAUAUUUCUAUCUUUGAAAACUGAUUGUAACGUAGUAUUCUCUGAGAUUCAAGAAAAAUUAUUGUAACUUUUAUAAGUAAUUCUCUAAAUUUAUUUAUGAAUAACACAAUGAUUUCUUCUUCUCCUCUUGAGAGGUGUGGCUAAAUUCCUAUAACUAGGGUUAUGGGAGCGUUGAUGUGAAUAGCUGUGGGUUGUGAAAAUACUUAAUUUUCAUAUUCAAUUGAGAUUGUAUAAACCUUUCUUUAUAUUAAUGACUUUUCCUGGUUUCAAACUUGAAGGGUGAGCCCAAGAACAUCACUUGUUUGAGAGAAAAAGUGUAUGUUGGGAAAAGAAGAGGUUUACAUCGAAUCUAAAGGCCUUAACCUUUGGUUUAAGGGUUGAUGCCUUAACAACGAUUAAUCCACAUGAGAGACUAGUUGAAUAGACCAACACAUUCUUUAAGUUCAAGAGAAUUAAAGGGAAAAUUAUCCAUUUAGGUUGAGAAACAAAUAGGUAAACUCUAGAAUUCAAUAACUCUUACAAUUAAAGUUAUAAACUUGAAAUUUAUGGUAAUUCACAACCCCGUCUCCUUGAACAUCUCGGUGAACAUAACUCUAGUUUGUUUACUCUCAUUGAAUUAGUAAUUGUAAUAAAACUCACUAGCUGGAAUGCUACUUGUUACAAACACCUAAAUAUUGUUAACAAUUUUAAACCCCCUUUCUCUGGAGCCUUUGAUCAACAGUCUAUUAACAACCAUAAAACUUAGUUUGCACAACAUUCCAUGUGGAAUUCGACCCCAACUUAGUUGUGUUCUAUAUUUGAUGAUGACCACUUAUUCAUUCUAACAAAACUUGUAAUUUAGGCAUAUCGCUUACCAUGAUACAUAAAAAAUAACCUAGUCCCAUACGACAUACAUCAUAUUACACAACAAAACCAUUGGUAUCCUUAAGCAGGAUCAAAACUGGCACAAGAGUCAAGUUCUCCUUCAACUUCUCAAAACUACCCUCACAAGCAUCAAACCAUAGAAAUUUUACCUUAUUCUAAGUCAACCUUGUCAGUGCGGUAGCAAUAAGAUAGAAACUCUUUACAAAUAUCCUAUAAUACCCACUAGCCAAGCCCAAGAAGCUUCUAAUGUCGAUUCACAUUGUGGGUCUAGACUAUCUUUUAACUUCCUCAACUUUCUAUGGAUCCACCUUGAUUCCUUCACUAGAAAGAACAUGCCCAAGAAAGGUCACAAUAUUUAGCUAAAAUUGAUACUUAGAAUAUUUAGCGUACAGCUUCUGAUCCUUAAAUGUAUGCAACAACAAUUCAGAGAUAAUUGGUAUGAUCUCCCUCACUCUUGGAGUACACCAAGAUAUCAUCAAUGAAAACUAUCACAAAUACAUCUAAAAACUGCCUGAACACCUAAUUCAUAAGAUCCAUGAAAACAUCCGUAGUAUUAGUCAACCAAAUUACAUAACUAGGAAAUCAUAAUUGUUAUACUUAGUAUGUAAAGAAGUGUAGGGNNNNNNNNNNNNNNNNNNNNNNNNNNNNNNNNNNNNNNNNNNNNNNNNNNNNNNNNNNNNNNNNNNNNNUGUAGGGAACAUCAACCUCUCAAAUUUUCAAUUGAUUAUGGGCCGAGCAAAGAUCAAUCUUAGAGAAAUACCUAGCACUCUAUAGAUGGUCAAAAAGAUCAUUAAUCUUAGGAAGAGGGUACUUAUUUUUCAGUAUCACCUUAUUCAGUUGAUGAUAGUCUAUAAACAUCCAAAGAGACCCAUCUUUCUUACGCUCGAAAAGUACAGGAGUACCUCAUAAAGAAAUACUAGGAAGAAUGAAACCCUUAUCAAGAAGAUCCCUUAAUUUUUCCUUUAGCUCUUAUAGCUUGGCUGAAGCCAUCUUAUGAGGAGGGAUAAAAAUAGGAUAGGUAUUUUGUAGAAGAUCAAUCCCAAAAUCUAUUUCCCUAUUAGGAGAAAUUACAGAAAGUUCAUCAAGAAAUAUUACAUGAAAUUCACCAAGCACGGGGACAGAUUGCAAAGAACGUCUUUCAAAAUUAGAAUUCUUAUCUCAAACCAAAUGGUACAAACACCCUUUGGAAAUUAACUUCCAAGCUCUAAGAUAUGAAAUAAACCUCUCUUUGGGUACUAAGGAACUUCUCUCCCGUUCAAUCAUCUGUUCAUUAGGGAAUUAAAAAUUAACCUUUUGGGUCCUAAAAUCCAAAGAAGCAUAGCACGAACAAAGCCAAUCCAUCCCUAAGAUCACAUCAAAAUCCACCAUAUCAAGCAUUACAAAAUUCACCUAUGUCCGUAUAUGAAAGAUGGAUACCACGCAACCCCUAUAGAUUUUUCUAGAGAUAAUAAAAUCACCCACUGAGGUAGAAACAUUAAAGGGGCUGGGAAUACUUUGAGGGCCUAAAAAAAAUGUACAGCCAUAUAAAGGGUCAUAUAAGAUAGGAUAGAACCCAACUCAAGUAAACAAUAAACAUCAUGAGAGAAGAGUUGUAAUAUAUAAGUCAUAUCAUCAGUGUAUGCCUUAGAUUACUGAUGAGUAUCAAGUGCAUGGAAGUAAUUUCUGCCAAUGUCAGUGCCUAAGAUUGUACCCUUAGGUGCAGAAGCUAAAAAUUUGAUGACUAGAACCUUGUUAGCUCCAGUAACAACUUUGACUAUAGGAAAACUUCUCUGCAGAUGACCUGGCUAACCACAAAUGAAACACAAGUCCCUCUCCUCCUCAAAAUAACCAUGAAAAAGCUGUACACAAAAAUGAUAUAGAUGAUAAGGUGGGGAUGACUGAGCUCCACUAGCCUGAGAAUGCGCACCCUAUACAUUGGGAACACUACUAGUCUCAAAAUGAUGAUUAUCUAAAGGUUUCAUAUAAGGAUCAUUAGCAGAAGAAUAUGAAUUUCCUUAAUUCUUCUUCUUAGUCGGCUGCCUAGCAUCAUUCCCACUAUUCUGUUGAUUAGCACCCUACUCUAAAUAUCUAAACUUCUUGUUCUGCCUAUUUCCCAUCACUAUUUCCUUCUUCUUUUCAUUCUCUACCUAUUGUCUAUAAACGACCAACCUGGGGAUGUAUAUGUCAUUACUCAAUAUCGCAGCUUUACACUCCAAUAGCAAAUCACGGGACAAACCAAAAGCAAACUUUCUUUUUCGGAUAUCAUGUUAGACACUAAUUUAGGAGCAUAUUGAGAAAAAUGCUGGAACUUCAAUGCAUACUCCUUAACACUUAUCUUACAUUACUUAAAGUUUACAAACUCUUUAGCUUUAUUUUUUCUCAAUUCUUGAGGAAAAAAUUGAUCAUAAAAGCACCUUAAACUUAUGCCACUCUGCCUAUUCAAUAUCAUCACCCCUUAUUACUUCUCACUCCUCAUACCACUAAUAAGCUACAUCUUUUAAUUGAUAUACAAUAAAAUCUACACCUUCAGAGUAAUUAGCAUGCAUCAUCCAAAAAAUCUUCUCCAUCAUAUCAAGAAACCCCUGAUGAUCCUCCUCAACCUUAAAUACUAUAAAGUUUGGGGGAUUCAACCUUAUAAACUGGUCAACACAAGUGACCUAAGAUGAAUAAGUAACCAAGCCAACACAAUCAGACAGAUGAGUUUGUGUUUCCAUUAAUUGAGUAAGCAUAUGAAUAUACUAAUGGAAUUCCAUAUUAGAUAUAUCUUACUGAGGUUAUUGAGUAUAAGUACAACUAACCUAAGAAGCCCAAGGAGGUCUAGUAGGGACUAGUGGAACUCUACAUGAGGCAGAAUAGUUAGGAGUAGGGAACCUAGAUUGGAUUUGCACUCCAUAAAUAGGGUGAGUUUCCUCUAUAUUUUCCUUAAGUCGGAUAAUAGGCCCAACAGAGUUUCUACAAAAUGAUUUAAAAUGCGAGUAAUCCAGGAGUUAGAGAAGUUUUAAGAUACCUAGACUUUAUAGCCCAAAACAGAACACAAAAAAGGAAAACAUUCCUAAAUUCCUUGAAGCCUCCACCUUAUAAAUGUUAUGACUAACAUACCUAUAAAAGGGAGUCUACUCAACACGGCUUGUGGACACCCAACAACCCUAAACCUGGCUCUGAUACCAAGUAUGUCAUAACCCAAACUAGGGCCUAGUAGUGAUGGGUAUCUCAAAACCACUAUGGAAUAGAGACCACCCCAUUAGCCUAACCCCAAGUGCAUAGUAAUAAAAAUAAAGCAAAAGACAGUCAAGAUAGAAAUAAAAGAUAAAUAAGUCAAAUAAAAUUUCUAAGAGUCAAAACAAAUAAUCCUAUCAACACUUGUCCACAAAAGCCUCUAAAAUUGGAAUACCAACUGAGUCGAAACAUGCCCCCGACUAUAACUAAAAAGUAAAUCCAAAAUACUAGAACAAUAAUGAAACUAGUGAAAUGAUCAAGCCUUAUGAAAAAUGGAAGCUCAACACUUCACAACAAAUCAAUAAGAGUACUCUACCACCUAACACAGCACAAAACCACUAGAAAACUCUUCAAACCCUACAUCCUUAAAUAUUGUAGCAUCAAGGGAUAGCUAGUAGGAUAAGCUAGGGCAUGUAACUCAGGGAAAUUGAUAAAAUAAUGAUGUACCAUAAACAAGUCAAAACCACAUGCACAAAAAUUAUAUAUACAUAUAUAGGAUGUUAGGAUGGGACAGGGUCAUGAAUAUAACAGUUUAAACUAUUAACCUGAACUACAUAGCUUUCUCCAUCCAAAAGGAACCCAUGGGCUAUAUGAUUGAGCUUCCCCACUGAAAGGGCCUAGUUCAUGUUAGGUGCACGAACUAAGGAAGUCAAAGCAAAGGCUAAAGACACAAAGACUCUAGAAAUUAAAAAAUAUAUAAUGUGUGAAGCAUGCACACGAUCACACAGAACCCCAUGCUAGCAAAUGUGGUUUUCAGUGUUAGUCUUCCCUAGAAUACACAUUCACAGUGAGCUACACAAUUCUCUUUAAGCCUAAUUUUAAAAAAAUCGUACAUAAAAUUAUCCAUUAACCCAAGAUUCUUAUAUAAAGGAAUUUACCACUUGGUAUCGUCAUACCAAUUAUGCUUGGAAGCUAAUCAAAUUAUGGUAAACCAAAACUAUUUAAUCAAAUUGACUUCCAUGUUCCAUUUAAAAAUCCAAUCCAUAGCCAUAAAGGGCCUUUCAAAUUCAUUUCAACCAAUUAUCCGUUAAUGCAAUGCAAAGGGUUAGUAAAUAAGUUAAAUUAUGCAAUUAUCCACGUUUAAAAAAACCAAAUUCAUAAAGUAGGUUAGGGUUAAUCCCAUUACCAAGCCAGGAAGUCAUUAAUUUUGGGAAACCUAUGUUCCACAUUCCAAUUAUCGUAAUAAUGCACCCAUUCUGUCUAAAAAUCACAAAUUAAAGUAUAAAACAUCAGUUUAAAACAUGGGAAAAUUUAUUCAACUUAUACCAAUCAAAACCGCUCAACCUAAUUUCAAAACGCAUUAAUUUAAAUCACAUGGAUAAUGAGUAAAUAAUUUGCAUAAUCUAAAAUUAAAUUUUGGGAAUGAGAUACACGCCUGUUAUACAAAACAAAUUGAAAAUAAUUUGAUGUUUGGAGCUCGAAUGAUUAAUUUACUGUAGAAUCCUUGAAUAUUUUUGAAUUUUAAAUUUCAAAUAUAAGAAGAGUGAUUUGAUCUGGGAAAACUAAUGGGAACAUGAUCAUUUUAUUUUUAAAGGUUGUACAACGGGUAAAAAUACCAAAAGCUCCUUAUCUCAAGUGAAAAAUCUAAAUUGGAUAAAAUUAAAACAUCGGCAUGGCAAGCUGUUAUCAAAGAGGGUAGCCUUCAUGCUACGCCAAUAUCAUGGAGGCUAACCUCCAUGGCAUGCCAUAAUGUAGAUCCUUACUGCCUUAGGGUCCUAAAAUGACCCUGAACCCUUUUUUUUAAAUCCCAAAACUUUUCUAAAUUACCCUUUUAACAUAUUAUACUUUUAUAUUUUUAAACAUAAUUCAAGUUAAAAAUUAACAUUAUGAAUUUAGAAGGAUAAAAAAAAUCAUCGAAAUUUUUUAGGGGUAUUACACUGUGUGAUGUAAAUCUAGUCCUAGAAUAAGAAAGUAGCUUGUUUGUCAUGCUAGCUGCUUUAUUGAAUGUCUCGAUCUGCAUUCUAUAUAAAGAGUUGAUUUGCAUCCUUGUCUGACAGUUAUCUAAGCGAGAUGUUAUGAUCGAGGAAGCCCUACCCAAUAAUGUCUCUACUCUACUAGUCCUAGUAGUAGAUACUCGAUAGACAGGCUGAUCACUGAUGGUAUAAGGUCCUUUUCUAUUUUUCUAACUCAAGACAGAUAGCAAGAAUAACUCGAAAUAGUCAUAGAACACAUGCAAGUCCAGAUUGAAAGAUAAGAAAGGCAAGUCAAAGCAGAAAGAUCUAUGUAACCAUUGUGUGAAUCUUGUCAUGGUAUUAGGAUAAGGGAAAAAAUAAUCAUAGCUUAUCAUUACAUGAAUUGGAUAGGCAGUAGUUGAUGAUAUAGCCAUGUACCAUGUGUGUGUGAGAACUUUACCUAGUUCCCUUUGUGCAUAUAAUCCAAAACAAUCCCCAUAGUCUUGCCUAGGUUGUAGGAUAGUUUUUUAGGACAUGAUCAGAGGCCAUUUUUGACUUUGUCCACUCUUAUCCUAAAUAACAAUCUCAAAAUGAAUAAGUAUCCCUUGAUCCUUAAAUUUGAACCUACAUUGACCUAUUUUGUUGUUUUUAUCUUUUUAGUUUCCCAAUUAAUUACAAAGAACCAGUUUUGGUCCUGGUCCCUCUUUAACAUUGUGUACCUCAAUUUAGGAAAAUUAUCUAAGUUGAGAGUAUCUAUCAUAGGGUUGCAUAGUUAAAAUUGGGUAUGUAGAAGGGUGUUUUAUGUAAACAAAAAAAAAGAAAGGUGAGGUGAGGUAGAAAAAAAAAGAAAAAAGAAAAAAGUGGAAACUUGAAAAGAAAAAGAAAAAAGAAAAAGAGAAAAAUGAAUAAAUGAAAGGCAAGAAGUAAACCACACCCAACUCAAAAAAUCAAUAAAGGAUAAAAAGGAGAAAUAAAAGACUAAUGGUUAAGAAAUGGAGCAAAAAUAUAAGUGCAAUGUCAGAAGGUGAGUCACUCUAUCCCAAAUGUACUAUACCUACCCGUAUGCCCACAUUACAAGUUGAGCAAAGUCCUAUAGUAAUACUAGUCCCAAUGUACAAAAAAUUAUGGUAUAGAAAAUAAGGGCAAGCCUAUGUGUAAUGUCCCUUCAGGUUAUUUUCCAUAUUUCCACUUAUUUUUUCCACUACAUCUUUUUUUUAAAUGCCCUGAGUCAUUUCGAACUUUCUAGAACUAGCAGUUUGGUUAUCGGGCAGUUUAUUUGGUUUUUAGAGCCAAUUCCCUAUUUUGAAGUCAUUGCUAGUUCUGAAUAGCCACGAGAUAAAAAAUUUAGUUAAACAAUCUCAAAUGAAAAUUUUGACUAUUUUAACAACUCUAGAACAUCAAUUUUAGGCUAGUUGGACCUUUGGUUUGGGUCUCGAUGCACCCAGGCUUAAUUCAACAUAUUGAUCAAAAUGUUAAGAAAUUAAAAUUUGGGUGUAGGAUCCACAUGUCAUCUAAAUGACCUCGUAUAGAAAUUUUGACUGCAUAAUUGAGUCCAAAACAUGGAAUUUAUUAUGGUUACAUAGUUUGUUUGCACACAUGGGAUUUCGAAUAAAUCCAAAAGGCUUGGUAAAGACUUGGAAAAUUCUAAGUCUCAAUUGUAAUCUAGUGCACCCACGAUCACAGAAUAUGGAUCAUGGUCACAGCCAAGAAGCACCUGCAAGUGUCGCGGUCACAAUAAUUCAAGUUGCAAACAUAAUUCCCUGGGCAAGCCAAUAGAACUAUGAUAGCGGUGGGGUAAUGUCGCGAUCAUAAAAUCCUCAUCUGAUACCUUGCAUCGCGAUCGCAAAGGUCAAGUUGUGAUAGCGAGACCCGAGCAUCUGGUAAGGGUAUUGAUACCCCAUUUUAGCCUAAUUUUGCUCACUCUUCAUCUAUUUUCUUGAGCGAUAAAACUAUAAAUAAUGAGAUAGCUUAAAAUUGGAGCUUAUGGGUGAUUUGAUUAUCAUUCCAAUUGUGGUACGAUUUCACUUUUUAUGGUUGAUUUUCCCUUUUCAUUUCUCAAAAUCCCAAAACCUUAGAGUCUUGAUUUUAGCUCCAAAUUAGCUCGGAUAUCAGCCAUUUUAGAGAGUAAUGACUCCUUGAGCAUGAGGGAAGAUUGGGUUGGUAUUGGAAAUAUGAAUUUCCAUAAAUGGGACCCACAUGGAAUUUUAGGUGAUUUUUGGACUCAAAUCACAAUAGUGCAAUACUGGUAUUUUUCUCAUAUUGAUGUGUAGAAUAUGGUUUUGAUAGCUUGGCAUCAUCCAAAAUCUUAUCGGAAUAGAAAUGCGGUGAUUUAGCAGAUCUUUGAAACUUUUUCGGCAUCGAGGUAGGCUAGCUUUUACCCCUUGUUAGAUUGAGCUAAUUCAUAGUAUGUUUAUGAUAUUAUGUUAGAUUUUAGAUGGGUUUUAGGUAUUGGUAAUAUAAAUUGAAAUGCUUGAUUUAGUUGGACCAUUUAGGCUAUUUGAAAAUCAUAAUUUAGGCAUGAUUGACCUAGUUGCUUAUAUUAUAGGUUAAUUUCCUAUUUUAGGGAUAAUUAAGGCUUGCAUCUAAAAUUAUAUUUAGAUAUCUUAAGACUAUUUUAUGUAUAAUUUUCUUUAAAUGUAACUUCAGGGAUUAGAAGUGGGCCCUUGGCCCACCUUAGGCUAAGAUGCAUGUUAGCUUGUGUAGACCUUUAUAUGCUAUUUAUCUUCUUGGAAAUAUUUAUUGAGGUAAUAUUGAGAAACUUUAACACUUGAUAGAUAUGUUAGUUCAUGAAAGAGUUGAUGUCUAUUGAUUAUGCAAUUACGUAUGCUAUUUAUGAUACUAUUGAUUAUGUUGAUAUAUUUAUAAUUACUAGUUCGAGUCUCGAAGAUGCAUAUGAUAUAGAUGAUAUUUACCUAGUUUGAGUUUGGAGGAUGAUUAUGAUCUUGAUGAUAUAUUUAUUGGUUCAAGUCUUGUUAUUAAUUAUAUUUAUCCAUUUGAGUUUGGCUAUUGAUUAUAUUUACUAGUUCAAGUCUAGCUAUUUGAUUAUAUAUAUAUAUAUCGGUUUGAGCCUGAAUAUGCAAAUUAUGCUAUAAUGAUAUUCUUAUUAUGAUAUGAUGACAUUGGGGUAUGAGUUUGAUUAUCUAGCUAUGUUAAAAAUAAGGAAAUGGUUAUAAUGUGAUAAGAUAUAAAUGGAUUCUAGUGAUAUAAUGACUAGUUGAUAAGGGUUGAAUAAUUAACAAAUGAUGAAUAUGGACAAGCAAUUGCAAUAGUGUGGCAUGGCUUGGAUUAAUUCUAAUUGUAUUAUGUGAGUUCAUAAAUAAUGGUGGUAGGUUAUUCCAUCUUGUUUGUACCUUCUAGGAUUAUGAGGGCUUGCGAUGGGUUAUUUUCUUUUUCCACACUGAUUGGCGUAUGAGAGCCAAUUUUGUAGUUAUAAUUAUGUGUGUUGAUUCUUUACAUUAUGUUGCUAUUAUUUUAGUUUAUUUACCUAUUUAUGACAGCGAUGUUGGAGAUGAUUCAACUUCAUUCCUUCCUUGACUUAGUUGUGUUAUCUUGUAUUUUAUCAUAUUUAUAUUAUGAUUUAGCUCAGUCAACCAUGAUGCCUACUAAGUACCUAUGAUUUUGGUGCUCAUACUACACUUCUAAAUAUUUUUCGUAAAAAUUUUAGUACUAGUUACCACCAUUGAUUGAUGUUUGUGCUAUGUUGAUAUCUAAAGAGAACGUGAGCUCUUGGAGUCAGAGUCAUCUAUCUUUCUAUGUUCAGUCUUUUAUUUUGAGAUAGAUGUUAUUGACUAUUCUGGAUACUUGGAUUGUAUUAUUAUUACUAGAUGCUCUUAUAUAGGAUAUACCAGGCUGUGGGAUGAUAUAUAUGUUUACUAUCUUUAUCUAUUUCAAAUACUAUGCUUAUCUCUUAGUUUUGUUGUUGAUUUUUGUCGAUGUUGGAUAUUUUUCACCAAUUUAACCCAGUGUGUUCAACUUUGGGUUACGGUUUGGAUUACCUACUGGGGGGACAAAGUAAGUAUCAUCAUGACUUGUUAAUCGUGUUGUAAUACCCCGUACUUAUCCUAGAUUGAUUUAGCUCUUAGUUUCAUGCUUAAGAGGAUUAAGGCUUGAAAUUUUCACUAUAUGUUGGGGACUUAGUCAUUUUCAAGAUCCCUAAACUUUGAGGAUUUUCAUUUUGGUCUUCUCGACCCCGAGACAUUAGUUUUUGAGUUAAUUCAUAUUCAGGGAUGUAAGAAGUAUGUACCGGGGGAGUUUAGGAUUUUUCAAAGAAGGAUUGGGGCAUGUUUGGAUCAUGAAUCCAUCAAGUCACUGUGAUAGAGCCUCAUCGCGGUGACAUUCCCUUUGGCACAUAUAUCACAUUACAAUGAAGGUGUUUUCAUCUAGUUCUUUAUUUAUAAUUGAAUGCAUGUGGCAUGAUCUUUAUCCUAGUGUGUGAAGUUCUUAUGAGGUGAAUAAUGUUCAUAGGAAUCACUUAGAACAAAGAUGAGCAAAGAGCCUUUGAUUUGUCCAAAGUUUGGUAUUCGAUUCUACAAGGGUAAAGUUUGAACGUGUAUAAAUUUUGAUAUAUGUGGAAUUUUUCAGAUCAAGACCCUUCAAAUUGUAGGUAAUUGAAUUAUCUUUCAAAUUAUACCAAUUUUACCAUAAUGUGAUACCCGAGUAAAGAGUUAUGAUCAUUUUUGUCAGAACUAGUGAGCCACCACGAUAAGUCCGCAUCGCAAUAAGCCUUUAAUAAGCAUUCUAGUUAUGAAUUUUUCGUUUAAAUUAUGGAGAGGCAAUUGGGCCUUUUCCCACCUCGACCUAACUCAUAAAAACAUGAUCUACAUGUUUAGUUAGGGCAUUAUUUGACCACAUUCUCCAAUUUCCUCUCAAGAAUAAAACCUAAUCAUCCCCAAGUUCAUCAAAAUCAAUUCCUUUCUCUCCAACAAAACCAAGAAAUCAAGUUCCCAAAUCAAAGAAACUUCAAGGAAGCUUAAAUAUUUGUGUUUCUCUUUCAAGAUUUAAGAUUUAAGGUACGUGUGAUGUUCAUCCAUGGAGUCGAAGAACCUAUUUUUAUGUUUUAAUUCAUGAAUUUAUAUGUUUACAAUGAGUUAUCAUCAUGAAACUUUUAUGGAUUUUGAAUAUACAUAAUGUUUACAAGUGUUUUUUGUUGAAAGUAGCCCUUACACGUUUGAAUGAAGAAAAUUCCAUUUUAAAUCCCCAAUUUAUGGUUUUAGUGUUAUAAUUAUUUUAUUCCCACAAGUCUCAAUCAUUCCCAUGCUUAAGUUCAUGAAUUUCAAGUGUUCGAUGAAAUACCUAAAUAAUUGAAAUUUGAACUAUGAUCCCCUAUUAUGUUCUUCAAAACUUUCAUGUGUCCGUAUUGUUAAUUCCAUUUAGUGUUGGGGGUUAUGAAUACCCGAAAAUUAGUUGUUUACAUAAUGUAUAGUAUUUUUAGAAUGAUUUCAGAUAAACCAUGAGCCUUUUUAUUCAAUUAGUAUCAUGUUCAGUUGUUGGCUCAGUUAAGCAUAGUUUCGUCUAGUAGUCAGUGUCAUUCAGUUGGGAGUAAGAUUUAGCACCAAGUGAACCUAGGGAUGGGGCCUCACCUAUUUGUAGAGGGUGAUACCUUUAGUAGCAGCCCCUUAGUUCAAGAUAUAGGUAGCCAUUUAAACCUACCAGUUGAGGGUUGAUAAAGUGUUUACCUGCCAGUUGAGAGUAACACAUAUCUCAUUAAAGCAGCCGCCAGAUAACGGUGGCUUAGUGGAUCCACAUACAAAUUGUUGGUACCCGUGGCAUGGUACUAACACCCUUCCAUUAAGGGUUACAGGUUAUACCCUACUUAGCUCAGAUAGGGACAUGUCUAUUAGAUGAUACCUCCCACAGUCUUAGUUCAAUAUUUAGUACCAAUAUUAGUUUAGGUUUGCAUGAUCAUAGCAUACAAUUUAUCACUUAUUCAGUUACCAGAUUUCAGUAUUUCAGUUUAUAGAAUACUUUAGUAUCAGAUUAUAUUCUUGGUCAUGCAGUUUUAGACUUUACAACUUUCACACAUGUUAUGUGUCAGUCAUUAUCUUAUGUUACUUAGCCAGUCAUUAUUUCAUACAUAUUUAGCUAUCCCAUGCUAUUCAGCCAGCCAGUAUUUGAAACGAGAUGUAAAAUAGGAAAUUGGAUACAACACGAAAACAAAGGAAACAUUAAAUAUGAAAUCACAAAAACACAAAUAUAAUAAAAUAGAAUGAUAAAGUAAAAGACAGAUUAGAUUGACGUAGGUUGAAAACGAGAGUACAACGAGGACCUUCCUAUCAAUCACCAAAAACCCCAACCUCUAACGAGGACCCCACAGUAAUGGACCUGAGAAACCCAUAUUUCUCAAUAAUCCAUAAACUCCCAACAAGCUUAAAAAUAACACUCACAAGUGUAACUUAAUUCGUCAUUCAUCAACUACCUAAAAAUAAAAGAAAACUAGCUAUUUUUAGCCAUGGGUUAUUACACAAUGGGCCAAAAAGAGAACCUAAAAGCUAUUGAGCCCAAAAGGACCCAAAGCCAAAAACAAUGGAAUGGACGCCCAUACUCUAUUGAAUCCCAAGCUAUCAUCCAAAUGCGGUGUCACCUAUUUCUUUAAUGGAGGAUGUCACCAAAUAAAGCUUCUUUCCAAGAUAUCCUCCAUUCAUAUAUUUGAUCCCCUAAGAUGAACAAGUCUUGCAUCUAUAGAUAUGAUCCAUGGAGCAUCGAUCCCAAACAAGUGGAGCCCAUUGAUAUUGUAUCAUCCCUCCUUUCUUGAAGAGCAUUCAUCCAUGAAUCCAACUCCUUUAUAAACUGGUCAUUGCACCUUUCAUGUUUGGAAUCCUUUGGUAAGAAUUCCAUUGGGCUUUCAAGCUCAUUUUCAUAUGGCAUUUUCCUUGCAUCCUCCUUUGAUAUUGCUUAUUCAUGAACCUGUACAAAUAAAGGAGUGAUGCUAGGUAAAAUGUUAGCAUCAAGGCUAGUGAGUGAAAAAGGUUCCAUGUUGGAAUUUCUCUUUUUAAUUUGGAUUUGGGUUGGCUUAACAAUGUCUUCAGGAACUUGGUUUGUAGUUGUUUGAGUUGAGGAAUAUGUUAUUAUGCACUAUAGCCAUAACCUCCUUCAACAUGUCCUACAAAUUCUCGAUGAAAUCCAACAGCUUGGUUUGGUGGCAGGUGGUAUGGUGGCAUUUGGUUAAGUGGAUCUUGGUAAGGUGGAUUCAGAUUUAGUGGCCUUUGGCAGUGUGGCAAUUGGAUUUGGGGUACUUUAUAGGGUGGAUUAAGGACUUGUGGGUUCAAUCAUUAGGGAAUUUUGUAGUUUAGAGCUUGAAUUGGGGGGUCUUUGAUAGGGUGGAGUAAGGAUUUGGGGAGCAUGGGUAGAGUUUUGGGGAGUAAGACAUGUCAAAGUUUCCUUCUUCCUGUUCAAGUGUAACCAUUCUACCUUCCAAUCAUUCAAAUAAUUUUGCAAACCCAUGAUGGAUUCCACUAAGGUAUCAAAUGUUUCUCCACCCAUAGCUUCUUAUCACAAUUGAGAAAACAGAUGAAAAAACUAUUGAUGAUUUAUUUGAAAGUUGAAAGACAUGACUCAAUGACAAUUACAAAGAAAGAAAUGAUAAAAACCACAAAGAGAGAAUAAAAGAUAAAACAAAGACUUGACGAACUUGAAUUUGAAGUUCUAAAAUAAGAAAACAAAAUAUAAAAGAAUUAAAAUACACAAGAAAUUAAGACGCAAAAGAAGAAUAAAACAAGUACUAGUUAAACAACUAAGUUGAUUACGGUUUAGUUGUUAACUAGUAUCAAGAAUCAAUGAAAUGAAAUGAUGAAUUAAUAUAUGAAAUUAAUGGUUUUUAACCUGAUCAAAUGAACUUUUUAAAGUGGUGAAAUACGUUUGUGAACAUGAAUUGAUUUUGGAGAAGUGUUGGAAUGCAUUUCGGUUGCGUUUGGGGUUUUUUUGGCAUCCAAUUGGGUGAUAUGCGUUGGGAAACUUGCUACGGGGGUGGGGCAUAAGUCAAGGGAACCUUAGAUUCAGGAGUACAUCCCCCUACUGGUUUGAGGUGUUUUGGACUUGCUGGAUCAGACCAAGAUCACCUUGGGCGCAGAUGCAAGGAAUGUCACCCGCCCAUUUCUCUUGAAAUGGCCCCUUUGCCCUCUAAAUGGCCACCCCUUGUACUCUCUUGUGGAAUAUUCCUUAGGUACUUUUACAAACACUUUUUCUAACCUUUUUAUUCACUUUUGAGGAUCAAACAACCUCCUUUUGAAGAAAAUUCCCCUUGAAUAUUUGAAUUUCUCCCAGAACACUCAAGAACACUAACAACUUCAAAAUGCUCUAACUCUUUAACCCUUGACGGAAUGUGGUGAAAUAAUGAACUUAGGAUAUUUUAAAUCUUCUAAACACAUUCAAAGUAUCAAUUUCCUUAGAUUCUCAACCAAAAAUUCUAGAUUUUAACUCCACCUUCAACCUUCAAACUUGAUCUUCUCAACAAUGGUAGACCCUCAGAUUCACCUCCAAUUGAGCUCAAAUUCAAGGUUUAGACUCUAAUGGUAUUACGGAACAAGAAUAUAACACCAAAACACAAGGAAAACAGCAAAAUAAAAGACUCAAUAUUUGACCUAAAGGCAAAAAGGUGAAUAGUAAUUUUUUUUUGGAUUUUCAAUUUUCCAACAUAAAGAGACCCAAGACUAGAAUCAUGGGAACGAUUCUAAGCUCAACUUUGAUACAAUAUGAUAUGAUACGUAAAACACAAAAUCAGAAACAACACAAAAAAAUGAAAUAGUAAAUAUGAAAUCACAAAAUCACAAAAAUAAGAAAAUGGAACGAUAAAGUAAAAGAUAGAUUAGAUUGACAUAAGUCUACAACAAGAGGACAACCAAGGAUAUACUAAACCCUAGACCUUUCUUUCAAUCACCGACAACACCAAAUUCUUAUGAGGACCCCACGGGUAUGGACCCGAGCAACCCACGUUUCUCAAUAAUCUAUAAGCCCCAAACAGCUUAAAAAUAACACUCGCAAGUGUAACUUAAUUAAUCAUCCAUCAACUACCUAAAAAGGAAAGAAAAUGAGUUAUUUAUAGCCAUGGGAUAUUUAAUAGACAACAGGCCAAAAAGUGACCCUAAAAUCUAUUGGGCCCAAAAGUGACCUAAAGCCCAAAAUAAUAGAACUAACACUGAUACUCUAUCGAAGCCCAAACUAUCAUCCAAAUGUGGUAUCGCCCAUUUCUUUCAUAGAGGAUAUCACCAAAUUAAGAUUAUUUUCAAGCUAUCCUGCAUUCACAUAUUUGAUCUCCUAAAAUGACCAUGUCUUGGAUCCUUAAAUGUGAUCCUUGAAGCAUUGAUCCCAAAAGAGUGGAGCACAUUAAUCUUGUAUCAAUAUUUCAUGCACACGAACCUAUGCAUUUUAGCCUAACCCAUCUCAUAUACUAGUAUAUUCAAAGUACUAAUCCUAUACUUUCUUCAAGCUAUGAUGUCUUAUAUCAUAGGUUCGGAUGCUCAGUUUUCUGACCGUGCUUAUAUAGGCCAGCACUCCCGAAGCAACACAGUGGUGAGUCCUCAUCUUUCGGGGACAAGUUUAUUAUUCAUUCAAUUAUUUUAGUAUCCCUCUAUUUCAAUUAGUUGGAGUUAGUUGGGGGUUUGUCCCAUGAACUCCACAAUCAGUCAAUUAUAGGCUUUUAAGACAUUUCAGACAGUUAGAUAGUUUGUCAGUCUUAUUAGUCAGAUUUUUAGUAUUUUUACAUAUGUAUCAAACUUAUGGAUUCAGAUGUAUUAUUUUCAGUAUUUAAACCUUAUGUCCUAUUCAGGUUAUCUUUUCACAUGUCUUUGAUUUUAAGUUUUACUCAGUGAUCAUAGUAGGUACCAACUCAUAGUUAGCUUGUGAUCCCUUGAGACCGUAAGCACCAUUGUCGCAACUAGGGGGUAUCCUUGGGUCAUGAAAAAAUUUGGUAUCUUAGCCUAAGGUUUCAGAGAGUCCUAGGGAGUCUAAAGAGCUGCAUUGAAUAGAGUCUUGGGCAUGGGUGUAUAGCAUGCUACACCUAUGGAUGAGAGGCUACAAGUAAUUUUAGGAAAAGUCUCCUUUUUUUCAGUUUUCAUGUUGUGUGAAAGAGAAUGAUGCUCUAGCUAAACUCUCUUUCUAAUUUGUCCUUCCUUCCAUAUAAAGAAAUUGCCUAGUUAUAAUAUCACAAAAAAUUACUUCAGUUGAUAGUAGAAAUAGAUUUUUUCAGUUUUAGUUUUUCCAAUAAACUAAUAAUUGAAUGGAGCGGAAGUACCUCAUUGCUUCGAGUUUAGAUGUGUUUUCAAGUCCCUCCUCAGAAUCCUAUGAUUGCAUAUGAUCUAGAUUUAGAAGUAUGAACCUAGAAGUUUAGCAGUAGUAAUGUGGGGAUAAUAGUAUCAAAAUUUGGUGGAUUAUGUAUCUGUGGGGCUAUUUGUAUGAAGGUGAAUCAGUAUGCUUGAAACAUUGCAUUCAAUAAUUUAAGUUGUUGAUUCAAAAUUAAGUAUGAUUAUGUGCGUAUGAUCUAGAGGUGUACCCAAGUUGAUAUGGGAUUGUAUUAUAUCAAUGUUUUAAAAGUGGGUGUUCUUAUGUAGUACCCUUAAAUGCUAAGUUUAAAUGGCACUAGUAAUAUAGUAAUUGGCGUUCUUAAUAGCUGAGUUAUGGGCUAUAGGAUGUUGAUGUCGGAUGUCCAGAUGUAAUGGUAAUUCUUAUGGUUUAGGGAGAAAAUUAAGUUUACAGAUAUGAUUUUUGUAGGCUAUGAUUGAGGUUAUUAAGGUUCAUUACGGGUUUUGAGAUAUCCACGUUAAGUGUUAGAAUCUAGGUUUAAAUCUUUGAAGAUUGAGUUAAUAGAAAGCAGAAUUGAAGUACUAGAUAGUGUGAACUCAUGGUAUGGUGAUACUCCUAAAAAUUCUAAGUUUUUAAGUCUUUCAGUUAUCGUUUAGUGAUUAUUGAGGCUAUAAAAAGCUAGGAAUUGUAUAUCAACAUGAUGUGCUAGUAGUGGGUCUUAAAUUAUUAGGCAUAGUCUUUUAGAGUGAGUUUAUCCAUUAUGCGUAAGUAAGACCCACAAAAUCCUAAGCUUAACUCAGUCCUUUAAAGCUUGUUAAGGGGUCCCACACUUAGAUAUUUUAGCUAUGUAUUCAAACUUAGUGUUAUUUUAGCUUUCAUAUAUUGGAAACUCCCUUAUGAACUUAAAGUAAUAAUUUUUAGGUUGAAUCAUGAUCAGGAAUGUCAGUGGGUGUUCGAACCACAUUUGAAAUACCUUUGAAAUCUCAAACCAGUAGAUCAAAGCAAUCUUAACAUGUUGCAUCGCUCAUCCCAUCGAUGAAUAUUUUCCUCCAGCUCCCAGUGCAAAUUCCAGUGAACCAACGCAGACUCAACGCGACACAUUGUCCAUCGUGUCGAUGCAAAUGACACAGCGCAUCAGUCUGCGCAUCGCUAAAUUUGUUUUCAUUCAUUAACAAGGCAGCAUCCUCAGGGAUAAUUGGGUCUUUUCCCACCUUAUAUCAGCCCCUAAAACACAAGAUUAAGCCCCUUUAGAGGUAAAAUCCAUUCAUCUUUCUCCAAAUUUCUCAAGAAGCAAACCCAAGGAUCUCUAAUUCAAGAUUCAACCUUUAAGAACACUCCAUCAUUCUUCAUAAAUUUGAAUACCAAGGUAUGUGAAGUGUUCGUCCAAAGGUUUCCUUCAACCCUUAGAGUUUAAGAAAAUCUUUUUAAAUACAAGUAAAUUGAUUUCAUGUAUUUCAUGUUAGAUCUUGAAUGUAUUAAUGAUUAUGAUGUUAAUGGUGAUCUAAUUCCAUGAUUUGUCCCAAGUUUCAUGCAAACUAGUUAAUUGUGAAUUGAAUUUUGUGAAAUAAAUGUCGAACUCUUGAAUUGUAAGUUGAAUUUAGAAUCCAUGAUAUUACUAAAUGUUUAUUGAUAUGUGAAAUACCCAACAAUUUAGCAGUAUAUCUAGAGAUAGUUUUAGUUACAGAAUAAUAUCAGUCAUAUCAUGAUUAGUGGUUCAGUAAAAAGUUCAGAACUUAGUUAGUAAUUCGUUCAGAAUCUAGUGAACUUAGUUCAGUCCAGUCAGUUAAUAUGAUGAGUCAUAGUUUAACCCAACUUAGAAUAGUUUGGAAAUCAGUCCAAUGUCUAUUUAGUUGGGAGUGCGAUUCAACACCGAGUACACCCAAGGAUGGGGUCUCACCUACAAGAAGAGAGUGUGAUCCUUAGAAGUAGUCCUUGCAUUUGAGAACUACGUAGCCAGCGCAGGUUGAGACAUCAUCUUUCCAGUUAAGGGUUGAUGAGGUAUUUUAACCUAUCAGUUGAGGGUACCACCAUUCUCAUUCAGAGCACUUUCCAGAUAAAGGUGACUCAACUUUUCUUUACCCAUGGCACGGUACUGACACCCUUCCAACUAGAGUUAUAGGUUAGACCUCAAUCAUUUUAGAGAGGGGCUUGUCAGAUAGAUGAUUACCUUCUAUAGUCUCAGUUUCAGUCUUUAGAAUAGAAUUUAGUUCAGUUCUACCACAAUCAGGACGGUCAGACACAGUCACUCAGUUCAGUAUAGAACUCAGAAUUAUUCCAUAGAAUCAAGACUGUCAGACACAGUCACAAAGUUAACAGUAACACAGUAUCAGUAAACUCAAAUAUCAGUAAGUUAGUAAUUUAGAACUCAGUAUCCAGUGUUAUCAUGACCUCAGUUAUAGUUUACGUAUUUCAUGCAUGUACUCUCAUUCAGUUAUUUUAUAUUAUUCAGUCAGUUAUUGUUCAUGUAUAUGAACCCAUGCAUAUCAGCCUACCUCACUUAGUAUACCAGUGCAUUCAAAGUACUAACGCAUACUUUUCUUUUGCGCUAUGUUGUCUUAUAUCAUAGGUUCAAACGCACAGGCUCCCGAUCAUACUUAGCAGCCCGAUCCAUCAACAGAAGACUGGUGGUGAGUUCUUAUAGUUUGAGGACAUGAUUAUUACUUCAGUAUCUCAGUUUAUCAGUUUUCAGCCGUCAGGGAUAGUUUGUAGAUUGUCCCAUCAAUCUCUUAUUUAGAUAGCAGAGGCUUAUCAGACUAGUGUAUUUUAGAGGGAUGUAUUAGUAUUCAGUUUUCAGUAUACAGUAGUUACUUUCAGUUUGAACCUUAUGGCAAGUUCUUGCCUAAUUCUUGCAUAAUUAUAGUAUUAUUAUUCAAUUAUUGCAGUAGGUACCAGUCAUGGGUUAGCUUGUUGUCCCUUGAGAUUAUAAGCACCGUGUAGCAUCUAGGAUAUAGACUCGGGGUAUUACAAAUUAGGUAUCAGACCCUAAGGUUCAAUAGAGUCCUAGAAAGUAUGAAAUCCGCAUCUAGUAGAGUAUUAUGCAUGGGUGUGUAGUGCGCCACACUUAUGGGUAGUAGGCUAUUAGAUGUUUUAGGAAAAAUUUCCCUUCUUUCAGUAUUCAUUUCAUGCGAGUGAGCAUAAGCUCAAGUUAAACUCUCAAUUUAAUCCGUUAUCUCCUUUUUGUUUAUAGAACAUGCCUCUCAAAAAGACUAAAUACAGGAGAACAAAAAAUCAGUUAGCACCUCAGACCAUUCAGGCAGAUCCCCUGGACGAACAUAUCUCCCACGCUGAAUUCAGAGCAGCUUUCACCACCCUAUCUCAUUCUGUGGUAGCCCAGAAUGAAUGCCUAACUGUCAUUCAAGCCAUUCCAAUGGCCAAUACUGUGGCAGAAAGGAUUCGAGACUUCAUAUAAUAAACCCUCUAUCUUUUACUAGGUUAAAUUUAGAUGAGGACCCAUAAGAGUUUCUUGAUCUGGUGCAGAAGGUUAUAGAUAUUUUAGGGGUGACAACUAGUAAGAGUGCUGAGUUUGAUGCAUAUCAAUUGCAGGAUGUAGCUCACUCAUGGUUUAAAUAGUGGAAACCAGAACGGGCCACAGAUGCAGGGCCCAUAAUGUCGGAGGAGUUUGCCACUGCUUUUGUGGAUAGGUUCUUCCCGUUUAACUUAAGGUAAGCGAAGGCUCUAGAAUUUAUUAACCUAAAGCAGGGCAACAUGAUAGUGAAAGAUUACUCUCUCAAGUUUACUCAAUUAGCUAGAUACACUCCUCAUGUGGUAGCAGAUAGCAGAUCUAAGAUAAGUAUGUUUGUGUCUAGUGUGUCUAAUAGUGUGGUCAAGAAGUGUAGGACUGUAAUGUUGAUUUAGGAGAUGGACACAUCCAAGCUCAUGAUCCAUACUGAGCAGAUAGAGAAGGCUAAAAUUAGCGAGAAGAAGAAGGAGAACAAGAGAGCGAAAAUAGGUAGUUUUAACUUUGCUUAACCUAAGUCAGAGGACGGGAAUCAUUUCAGUUCCACCUAAAAUCCUUAGUUCUAGCUCCACCAUUAUCUAGUGCUCCAGUGUCAAAAUUCAGAUAUAGCAAUAGAGAUAGGAUGCCAGGCCCUAAGCCUCAGGGUAGUGUUAGCAGCACCCAAACUAAUCCCCUUUGCUAGAAAUAUUGUAGAAACCACCAGGGUAUCUGCAAUUCUAGUAGUGAUGUGUGUUUCGGGUGUGGCAAGCCAGGUCACAGAAUUAGAGAUUCUCCCCAUUCAUGUUCCCAGGGUCAGCAUAACUGUCCCUCAGCCCAGUCCCAUUGCCCGAAUCAGUAGUGUGCUGCUUCCAGUGCUACCAGUGGGCAACACCCAAACAAACUCUAUACCCUUCAGAAUCGACAGGAUCAGAAAAGUUCUCCUGAUGUAGUUACUAGUACAUUAAAAGUUUAAUAUUUAUAUAUUUAUGCUUUGAUAAAUCCAGGAGAAUUUUUAUCCUUUGUAACUCCAUAUAUAGCUAUCAACUUAAGAGUCAGUCCCAAAAUCUUAGCAUAGCCUUUCUCAGUCUCUACCCCAGUGGGUAAAUCCAUCAUAGCUCGGAGGGUAUAUCGGAACUGUCCGAUUAUGGUAUCUCAGAAAGUCACUUUAGUAGGCUUAGUCGAAUUAAAGAUGACCGAUUUUUAUGUUAUUCUCGGCAUGGAUUGGCUUUAUUUUUGUUAUGCCUCUGUCGACUUUAGAAAUGGAAUUGCCUGGUUUUAGUUUCUGAAUGAGCCCAUCCUAGAGUGGAGGGAUAGUACCUUAGCACUUAGGGGUCAACUUAUUUCCUACCUAAGGGUAAGGAAAAUAAUAUCUAAGGGAUGUGUCUACCAUCUCAUUCGAGUCCAAGACUCUAGUUCAAAAAUGCUUACUCCUGAGUUAGUGUUAGUAGCAUGAGAAUUGCCAGACAUGUUUCCCAAAGAUUUUCUCGGAGUUCCUUCCAAAAGGGAAAUCCACUUUAGAAUAGACCUUCUUCUAGAAACUCAACCGAUAUCUAUUCCGCCAAAGAGAAUGGCUCCAGCAGAACUCAAAGAGUUAAAAGAAUAGUUGAAAGAUCUCGUAGAUAUGGGAUUCAUUAGACCCAGUAUUUCCCCAUGUGGUAUACUAGUUUUAUUCAUGCAUAAGAAAGAUGGUUCUCUUAGAAUGUGUAUAGACUACCGUCAAUUAAUUAAGUCACAGUUAAGAACAGGAAUCCACUUCCCAGAAUUGAUUACUUGUUUGACCAACUUCAAGGGGCCAAUUACUUCUCUAAGAUAUACCUCAGAUUAGGGUAUCAACAGCUUAGAGUCAAGGAAUGUGACAUUCCCAAAUUAGCUUUCAGAACUCAGUAUGGACACUUUUAAUACUUAGUCAUAUCAUUUGGUCUUACUAAUGGCCAAGAACCUUUUAUGGACUUGAUGAACCGUGAGUUCAAGCAGUACUUGAACAUAUUGAUCAUAGUUUUCAUAGAUGACAUCCUUGUCUACUCUUGUAGUGAGCAUAAUCAUGUAGACCAUCCAAGAAUAGUAUUAAAGACUCUCAAAAACCAUUAACUAUUCUCUAAAUUUAGCAAGUGAGAAUUUUGGCUAAGGUAAGUAGCCUUCCUCGACCAUAUCAUUUUCAGUGAUGGCAUUAGAUUUGAUUUACUUAGAAGAAGUUCAAAUUUCAGUGGUCAGAUUCUUAUGAGAAGAGUUUUCAAGAGUUGAAGACUUGACUUACCUUAGCUUCAAUUCUUACCUUGCCAGAUGGUUCUAAUGAUUUUGUUGUGUAUUAUGAUAUAUCUAGAGUAGUUUUGGGUUGUUUCCUUAUGCAAAGAGGUAAGGUUAUAGCCUAUGCCUCUAGAGAACUUAAGAUUUAUGAAAAGAACUAUCCAACUCAUGACCUUGAGUUAGCGGCAGUAGUAUUUGCCUUAAAGAUUUGGAGACACUAUUUAUAUGGAGUGCAAGUUGAUAUGUUCACUAACCAUAAGAGCCUGUAGUAUGUAUUCUCUCAUAAGGACCUAAAAUUUUAUAAGAUAAGGUUGUUAGAGUUGUUGAAAGACUACGACAUGAGUGUUAUGUAUCAUUCAGGCAGGGAUAGUGUAGUGGCUAAUUCUCUUAGUAGGAUGUCUAUGGGUAGUAUUGCUCAUAUGGAGGAUGGUAGGAAGAAGUUAUCAUAGAAAGUUCAUCAGCUUACUCAACUAGGUGUUCACUUAGUUGAUUCAGCAGAAGGUAGUGUAUGGGUGCAGAGUAUUUCAGAAUCAACUUUGGUUUUCGAGGUAAAGGAAAAGCAAGAUAGGGAUCCUAGUCUAGCUAAGUUAAAAGAAUCUGUCAGAGAUCAUAAGAUGUCGACUAUGUAUUCUAGGUGUAGAUGACCUAAGAUAUCAGAUUUUUGCAGAAGCGCAUGGUCUGCAUUACUCUAUUUAUCUAGGGGCCACUAAGAUGUACCAUGAUUUAUGGGAGAUUUAUUGGUAUAGUUGGAUGAAUAGAGAAAUUAAAGAUUUUAUAGCCAAGUGCUCAACAUAUCAGCAGGUUAUAAUAGAGCAUCAAACACCCAGUGGAUCUAUGCAGGAGUUCAGUAUUCCCACUUGAAAGUGGAAGAAGGUGAACAUGGAUUUUGUGAUUGGUUUGCCUCAUACUCGUCAUCAGCAGGAUUUAGUCUUGGUCAGUGUAGAAAGGAUGACCAAAUUAGAUUAUUUUCUACCAGUCCAUACCUCUUUUUCAUCCGAAUACCAUGCCAAACUCUAUGUCUGAGAGAUGGUCAGAUUGCAUGGAGUUCCAUUAUCUAUUAUCUCAAAUAGAGGUACGUAGUUCACCUCUUAUUUUUGGAAGGUAUUUUAGUAGGGUCUUGUUGCCCAAGUUUACCUUACUACUGCCUUUCACCCUCAGACAGAUGGUCAAGUAGAAAGGACCAUUCAGACUUUAGAGAAUAUACUGUGAGCCUAUAAUAUAGACUUUAAAGGUAGUUGGGAUGACCACUCUCCUUUGAUUAAGUUUGUGUUUAACAACAACUAUCAUUCUAACAUUAAGAUGGCUCCAUUUGAGGUUCUCUAUAAUAGGAGAUAAAGGUCUCUCAUUGGUAGGUUUUAAGAGGGAGAGGUUACAGUGGUAGGGCCUAACUUGGUGUUUGAUACCUUAGAUAAGGUUCAGCUGAUCAGGGAACGACUUAAGAUAGCUCAAAGAGGACAAAAAUCGUACCCAGAUGUUCACAGAAAAGAUAUCGAUUUUGAGAUUGGUGACUAUAUGUAUUUUAAGAUCUCUCUUAUGAAAAGAGUGAAGAGGUUUAGCAAGAAGGGGAAACUCAGCCUCUGAUAUACCAGUCCUUACCAAAUUCUUAGACAUUUUGGAAAGGUGUCUUACUAGCUUGAUUUUCCUUAAGAUUUAGCAUCAUUCCAUCCACUAUUCAAUGUCUCCUUCCUAAACAAAUGCAUAUGUGAUCCAACAGUUAUAAUCCCUAUAGGGAGUAUAGACGUUCAGAAUAGCCUCUCUUAUAAGGAGAUUCCAGUUGAAAUCCUUGAUUAUUAGAUUCGCAGACUGAGGAACAAAGAGGCCCCUCUUGUCAAAGUUCUUUGGUGGAACCAUUCCAUUAAGGGAGCUACUUGGGAAGUAGAAGUAGAUAUGCGGACCAAGUAUCCUUACCUCUUCUCUACAAACUCAAACUCAGCCCAAGGUAAAAGUUUUUCCUUGAACUUACUUAGUUCCAUGCUCAGAUUUUCCUUUAUAAAAUUGGUACCAGUUACCAUUGCAUAUUCAGUUGUGACUUCAUGCAUUAGAUAUGGAUGUUCAGAAUGAGAAACUCAUCUUUUCAGCAAUCCUAGUCAUGCAUUCAUGAAUCAUGUUUAGCUAUGUACUCAUGCACCAGUUAUGCAUAUUCAAUAAGAAAUUUUAGCAUAUGAAUAGUGUCAGUGUGAAAUCAUGUUACAGUUGUGCAUUUCUUGUAUUUAAAUCCAUUCUGUCAGUAUUCUCAGGUAAUCUAGCCUUAUUCGAGUAUGAAUAUUCCCAAGGGGGAGAUAUUGUAAGACCUCGCAAAAUCCUAAUCUUAACUCAGUCUUUUUAAGUUUGUUAAGGAAUCCCAGACUUAGAAAACUUUAGCUAAGUAUUCAGACUUAAGUGUUAUCUUAGCCUUCGUAGGUUGGCAAAUCUAUUUUACUAACCCUUAUGACCUUAAAGUAAUAAUUUUUAGGUUGAAUCAUGAUUAGAAAUGUCAUUGGGUGUUCUCGAACAAGUUUUGGAUUUUUCAUACCUCGUUUGAAACACCUUUGAAAGCUUAAGCCAGUGGAUCGAUACAAUCUCGAUGUGCCAGGACUCCCAUCAUGUUGAUCUAUAUUUUCCUCCAGCUCCUAGGUCAAAUUCUAGUGAACUAUCGAGGACUCAACGCGGUGUGUUGGCCAUCGCGUCGAUGUGAAUGAUGCGAUGCAUCGAUCUGCGUGUCCCUAAAUCAAUUGUCAAUCAUUACAAAGCCGCGUCCUCAAGGAUAAUUAGGUUUUUAACCACCUUAUGUCAGCCCCCAAAAUAUGAGAUUAAGCCCUUUUUUUGGCAAAAUCCAUUCAUCUUUCUCAAAAUUUCUCAAGAAGCAAACCCUAAGAUCUCCAAUUCAAGAUUAUUCCUUCAAUAACACUCCAUCAUUCUUCACAAAUUUGAAUACCAAGGUACAUGAAGUGUUCAUCCAAGGGUUUCCUUUAACCCUGGGAGUUUAAGAAACUCUUUAUAAAUACAAGUUAAUGGAUUUCAUGUGUUUCAUGUUGGAUCUUGAAUAUAUUAAUGAUUAUUAUGUUAAUGGUGAUCUAAUUCCAUGAUUUGUCCCAAAUUUCAUUCAAACUAGUUAAUUGUGAAUUGAAUUUUGUGAACUAUAUGUCGAACUCUAGAAUUGCAAGUUGACUGUAGAAUCCAUGAUUUUACUACAUGUUUAUUGAUAUGUGAAAUACCUAUGCUCCCCAAGUAUAUGUCAAAAUGGUUAUGUGAUUAGACUAGUCCAAGCAUAACAUGUUAUUGUGUGAAUUCAAUCAUACAUAAGCUCAUGUAUAAAAAGUGUUUGAGAAAAAUGUCUAAGUGAAUGUAUUAUUAGCAAGCUAGUACCAUUAUGCUACUAAAUUCAUGCAAGUGAUUUACUUUUCAUGCUAUCGAGUCCUGGGGGGUAUUUAAUUCCCAAUAGUUUAGCUGUAUAUCUAGAGCCAGUGUCAGUUAUAGAAUAGUAUCAGUCAUAUCAUAAUUAGUGGUUCAGUAAUCAAUUCAGAACUUAGUUAGUAAUCAGUUCAGAAUCCAGUGAACUCAGUUCAGUCCAGUCAGUUAACAUAAUUAGUCAUAGUUUAGUCCAGUCUAGAAUAGUUUAGAAAUUAGUCCAAUGUCUAUUCAGUUGGGAGUAGGAUUAAACACCGAGUAAACCUAAGGAUGGGAACUCACAUUUCUAAAUAGAGUGUGAUCCUUAGAAGUAGUCCAUCCAUUCCAAAAGUAUGUAGCCAGCAUAGGUUGAGACAUCAACCUGCUAAUUAAGGGUUGAUAAGGUAUUUUAACCUGCUAGAUAAGGGUACCACCAUUCUCAUUUAGAGAGGGUGACUCAGCUUGUCUUUACCCAUGGAACGGUACUGACAGCCUUCCAACUGAGUUUACUGCUUAGACCCUAAUCCAUUCAGAGAGGGGCAUGUCAGUUAGAUUAUUACCUUCUAUAGUCUCAAUUUCAGUCUUCAGAAUAGAACUCAAUUCAGUUCUAUAGAAAUCAGGACUGUCAGACACAGUCACUCAGUUCAGUAUGGAACUCUAAAUAGUUUAAAGAAUUAGGACUUUCAGAUACAGUCACUUAGUUAUAGUAACACAAUACCAGUAAACUCUAAUAUCGGUGAGUCAAUAAUUCAAAACUAAGUAUCUAGUUUUAUCAUGACCUUAGUUACAGUUUAUGUAUCCAUGCCUGUACUCUCACUCAGUUUGCUUCGUGUUAUUCAGUUAGUUAUUGUUCAUGCAUAUGAACCCAUGCAUAUCUGCCUACCUCACUUAGCAAACCAGUACAUUCAAAGUAUUAACAUAUACCUUUCUUUUGCACUAUGAUGUCUUAAUCAUAGGUUCAGACGCACGGGCUCCCAAUCAAACAUAGCAACCCGAUCUAUCAGCAGCAGACUAGUGGUGAUUCCUUAUAAUUCGAGGAUAUGAUUAUUACAUUAGUAUCUCAUUUUAUUAGUUUUUAGUAGUUGGGGUUAGUUGGGGGCUUGUCCCAUCAAUCUCUUAUUCAGACAAUAGAGGAUUAAGACACUAGAGUAUUUCAGAUCAAUGUAUCAGUAUUCAGUUUUUAGUAUUCAGUAUUUACUUUUAGUUUGAACCUUAUGGCAAGUUUCUGCCUAAUUUUUACAUAAUUACAGUAUUAUUAUUCAGUUAUUACAGUAGGUACCAGUCAUGGGUUAGCUUGUCGUGCCUCGGGAUUAAAAGUACCAUAUAGUGUCUAGGGUGCUGACUCGAGGUGUUACAGUGUAUUAUUGUAAAACUGACUUAGGAGGAUGGAUUAAAGCUAAGGGGGAGAUGAUAGAACUAGUAACCAAGUCAAGCUCCUAGAUUUUUGUAGUGAUGCCAAUGUUUUAUAAACCCAUGCUUAUUUCAGUUAUCACGAUGUCUACUCAUGUCAUACAUGUUAGCCCUAUGAUCAUAGCUAAUAUUUGUACACCUUAUUAAAAAUCAUGUACUCUCCCAAUUCCUUGUAUGAGGAGUUCCAGUUCACUCAAUAGUACGAAUAAUUUUCCAUGAAUUUAUGAACUCAAAACUCAAGUCAUGCAACUCAUGACUCAUGUACUCAUGCUUCGUAGUAUGUUCAGUUCCAAUAAUUAUGCUACACUUUUAAUGAUCAGUGAAUUCAAAUUUAUGUCAUGCAUGCCCUUAGUUUAAAGCUCUUUGAUAUAUUCAUGUUAGUGAUACUCUAUUCCUUAGGCCUUUGUUAAGUGUCAAGGUUAUGUACAGUAUUCUUUCAUGUUUUAAGUCCUCAUGUUCUAACCUUUUAGUGACCUACCUUUAUGAAAUAAUGGUAAUGAUGAGCAAUUGUUUAGAUGGAACAGAGUAAUUUUUUCUUGAUGAUGAAAGAUUGUUGUAUGCUUAUUUUAGCUAAGGCUGUAAGUGUGAUGUGUGACUGAGGCCAAGUUUUUUUUUAUAUAUGUCAUAGUUAGUUGAAAUUUUAUGAGUGUUUUCUUGGGAUAAUGCAUGGGAGUUGUUAAUGAUAUAGGUUUGGAGGAUAUGAGAAAGGUGCUUUUAUAGGUGUUUGUUUAGAAGUGCAUAUGUGGUUAUGAUAAUAGGAUUGAAUGUCAUGUUUAUAUUUAUAUGGGAAUGAAUGCAUUAGGCAUAUGUGAAUUUCUAGUAAGGGUUGAAUGUAGUUAUUGAAGUGGAAAUAGGAAUUAUUCAUGAGAUGAGAAGUUGUGAAAGUGAAGGGUGUGUUGAAUUCAUGACUCAGACUAGUAUUAAAGUGUUAUGUGUGCACUUUGUAGAUUCAAGUAGGCUUGAUCAUAGUGAGACAAUUUAGUUCAUCUCAAACUUUAGUAAAUAGAGUUAUCAGUGCCCAUGUGAAUAUUUUAAGUAGCCUUCAGAGAAGCAUUCUUUUGAAGUAGAAUGUAUAGUUGAGUAUAAUCUUUUAGUAUAAUUCAGUUCGUUUAGCCAACAGUUCAAUUAGUAGCUAGACCANNNNNNNNNNNNNNNNNNNNNNNNNNNNNNNNNNNNNNNNNNNNNNNNCCAAGGGCUAGUUUGUUCACAUCCAUGUAAAUUGUAAAUCCAGUUCAGUCCAUGCAUCAUGUUUUAGAUUUAGAUACUCGGUCAUGAUUUAGUUUUUAAGUGUCCCAUGUACCAUCUCAGUCUUUCGUUAGUAUUUCAUCCAUUUUAGUAUUAUUCGAUGGAUGAAGUAUCCCAGAGGGGAGGUGUAUUGGAAUACCUCAAGUAUUCACAUCCUAAACCUCUCAACUAUUCUCCACAAAACUGAUCCAGCUGGGGGUAAUGGUCUCUCAUAAGUUAACUCUCUUAUUUCUAUCUUAUCUUUAUAACCAGUCUUAUGUAAUUGCAUGUAUUCAAGAAAUCAACUCAGUUCAUGAUAUUUAGUUCAUGUAUUAUGUUUUAGGAUCAGUUAUUCAAUCAUGUUCCAAGUCAUGCAUGUUCAACUCAGUUACCCCAGUACAGUACUUUCAGUGUAACCUGUCUCAUUCAAGGAUCAAUUUUCCCAAGGGGUAGAUAUUAUAAUACCCUGUACUAAUCCUAGAUUGAUUCAACUCUUAGUUUCAUGCUUAUGGGGCUUAAGGCUUGAAAAGUUAUUGACUAUUCUGGAUACUUGGAUUGUAUUAUUAUUACUUGAUGCUCUUGUACUGGAUCUACCAGGUUGUAGGAUGAUAUAUAUGUUUACUAUCUUUACCUACUUCAAUAUUAUGCUUAUCUCUUAGUUUUGUUGUUGAUUUUCACCUAUGUUGGGCAUUUUCCACCAAUUUAACCCAUUGUGUUCAACUUUGGGUUACGGUUUAUAUUACCUAAUGGGGGGAUAGAGUUGGUGUCAUCAUGACUUGUAGAUCGGGUUGUAAUACCCAGUACUAAUCCUAUAUCAAUUCAUCUCUUAGUUGCAUGCUUAAGUAGCUUAAGGCUUGAAAUUUUCACCAAGUGUUGGGGACUUAAUCAUUUUCGAGAUCCCCUAAACUUUGAGGAUUUUCACUUUAGUCUUCCCAACCCUGGGACAUUAGAUUUCUAGUUAAUUGAUGUUCAGGGAUGUAUGAAGUAUGUCUUGGGGGAGUUUUAAAUUUUUUGACAAGGUUUGGGUCACGUUUAGAUCAUGAAUCCAACAAGUCACCACGAUAGGGCCGCAUCGCAGUGACAUUUCCUUUGGCACGUACAUCACAUCGCAGUGAAGGUGUUUUCAUCUAGUUCUUGAUUUAUAAUUGAAUUCAUAGGUUAUUAUCUUUAUCCUGGUGUAUGUAGUGCUUAUGAGGUGAAGAAUGUUCAUGGGAAUCACUUAGAACAAAGAUGGGCUAAGAGCCUUUGAUUCAUCCAAAUUUUGGAAUUGAUUCUACAAGGGUCAACUUUUAACGUGUAUAACUGUUUAUAGGUGUGGAAUUUUUCAGCUCAACACCCAUAACAUUGUAGAUAAUUGAAUUAGCUUUCCAAUUAUAUCAAUUUUACUGUAAUCUGAUACCUGAAUGAAAAGUUAUGCUCAUUUUUGUCAGAACCAGUAAGCCACCAUGAUAAGACCGCAUUGCGAUGAGCCUUUAAUCAACAUUCCAUUUACAAAUUUUUGGUUUAAAUGAUGGUGGGGCAAUUGGGUCAUUUCCCACCUCAACCCAAUUCGUAAAAACAUGACCUAAAGCUUUAGUUAGGGCAUUAUUUGCCCAAAUUCUCUAAUUUCUUCUUAAGAACAAACCCUAAUAAUCCCUAAGUUCAUCAAAAUAAAUUCCUAACACUCCAAGGAAGCCAAGAAAUCAAAUUCCUAAAUCAAAUAACCUUCAAGGAAGCUUAAAAAUUUGUGUUUGUCUUUUAAGAUUUAAGGUUUAAGGUAUGUGUGAUGUUCAUCCGUGGGCUCUUUUCACCCAUGGAGUCCAAGAACCUAUUCUUAUGUUUUAAUUCAUGAAUUUACAUGUUUACAAUAAGUUAUCUUCAUGAAGCUUUUAUUAAUUUUGAUUAAACAUGAUGCUUACAAGUGUUUUUCAUUGAAAGUAGCCCUUACAUAUUUGAAGGAUGAACAUUCCAUGUUAAAUCUCCAAUUUAUGGUUUUAGUGUUAUAAUUAUGUUAUUCCCAUAUGUUUCAAUCAUUCUCAUGCUUGAUUUUAUGAAUUUCAAGUGUUUGAUAAAAUGCCUUAAUGAUUGAAAUUUGAACUAUGAUCCACUAUUAUGUUCUUCAAAGCUUUCAUGUAUGCAUAUUAUUAAUUCCAUUCAGUGUUGGAGUUUAUGAAUACCUGAAACAUAGUUGUUUACAUAGGUUACAGUAUUUUCAAAAUGGUUUUAUAUAAACCAUAAGUCUUUUUAUUUAGUUAGUAUCAUGUUCAGUUGUUAGCUCAGUUAACCUUAGUUUCGUCCAGUAGUCAGUGUCAUUCUGUUGGGAGUAGGAUUUAGCAUCGAGCGAACCUAAGGAUAGGGAUUCACCUUCCAGUAGAGGGUGUGACCUUUAGUUGCAGUCCCUUAGUUCCAUAACUACAUAGCCAGCAUAGGUUAGAGAUUUCAACCUACCAGUUGAUUGUUGAUAAAGUUUUUAUCUACCAGUUGAGGGUAACACAUAUCUCAUUUGAUCACCUGCCAGAUGAGGGUGACUAAAUGGAUCUACACAGCCAUUGCUGGUACUCGUGGCAUGGUACUGACACCCUUCUAACUGGAAUUAUAGGUUGGACCCCACUUAGCUCAGAUUGGGGUAUGUUAGUUAGAUGAUACCUCCCACGGUCUCAGUUCGGUAUUUAAUACCAAUAUCAGUUCAGGUUUGUGUGAUCAUAGCAUAUAGUUUAUUAGUUAUUCAGUUACUAGAUUUCAGUAUUUAGGUUUACAGACUACUUUAAUAUUAGAUAAUAUGCUUGGUCAUUCAUUCUUAGAUUUUAAAGCUUUCUCGCAUGUUAUGUGUAAUUCAUCAUCUUAUGUUACUCAGCUAGUCAUUAUUUCAUGCAUAUUCAGUUAUCUCAUGCUAUUUAGCCUAUUAGAAUUUCAUGCAUGUGAACCUAUGCAUUUCAGUACAUUCAAAGUACUAAGCGCAUACUUUCCUUGCGCUAUGAUGUCUUAUUUUAUAGGUUCUGGCGCUCAGUUUCCUAACCACGCUUACAUAGUUUAGCACUCCACAGCAGCAGUAGUGGUGAGUCCUCAUCUUUCAGAGACAAGUUUAUCCUUCAUUUAAUUAUUUCACUAUCCCUUUAUUUCAGUCAGUUGGAGUUAGUUGGGAGUUUUUCCCAUCAACUCCACAGUCAGUCAGUUAGAGGCUAGUCAAAUAUUUCAGACAGUCAGAUAGUUUGUCAGCCUUAUCAGUUAGAUUUUAGUAUUUUCAUAUAUGUUUCAGACUUAUGGAUUCAAAUGUAUUAUUUUUAGUAUUUAAACUUUGUGGCAUAUUCAUUGAUUACUGCACAUGUCUUUUAUUUUGAGUUUUACUCGGUGCUCAUAGCAAGAACCAGCUCAUGGGUUAGCUUGUGGUCACUUAUGACAAUAAGCAUCGUUGGGGCUACCUUAGGUGGUGACACAGGUUAUGACACUAUGAUAUUCUAUAAAUAUUCAUUGGAACUUCUUUUGUGAAAGUGAGUGUCUUGACAUACCCUUGCAUUGAUAUGCAUAAUGAUAUUGUGAGUGUUGGGACUUCUUUUCUGUGAGGUUAAAUGGGUUGUGUUGUUAACCGCUUAUCUAUUUGAGUAGUGUAACUUGCAUAUUUUCUUGAUUAUUUGUUGCUAAUGAAAUGCUAUUACCUAAUUCCUUUAUGUCAUACUAUUUUGCUAUAUGGAUCCAUGUAGUGGUUUUGUUAAGACAAAAAUAAGAGUGCAUAGGAAUUUUGAGCUAAUGUUGAGCUGACUGUUGUAGGUGCCUUAGGUUUCUCUUAGUUAAGCAUCAUAUGUUCUUUGUUAUGUGUUAGUUUCCUACAGACAUGCAAAUAUUCUAAGUUGAAGGUGUUGAUGUGCCAUGGUCUUAUGGCACUUUCGAUGCUUAAAACAUAGAAAUUAUGCAAGUAAUUAAGUUUUUUUGUUAAAUCUGGUGUAUUUUUAUGUUGGUUUUGUAGGAAAAUAGUUUUUGAAGCAAAAGAGGAGAGAAAAUAUGAUGAAAUAACAAAGUAGAGAAAGUACAAAGUCUGGCUUGGUUGGUGUUCUAGCAUGUAUUGUGAUUUUCUUGAUAUUGAUUGCUUUCUUAGCGACUGAAGGCACUAAGAAAUUACAUGUAUUUAAUACUAUCUUAAGAGAGAGGUUGAGAUUAGGAAAAAAUAUCACAACAGUAAUUUGAAGCUACCAACCUUCAUCUAAUUAACUUAAGACUGAGAUGAGACUGUUAAUCUGGGAUCCAUGAAAAGCGUUAGUAAUGUGACUCUCUUAGAUCAAGAAUAGAUGAGUGAAAUUUACCAAAAAGUGUUAUGAGACAGUUAGUAAUACAUAACUUGUUAGAUUUUGUAUGCAAGGCAUCGAGAUACUUUGACAAGAACAAUAAGUCUUUGGAUUUAGGAAGUCAGGUGGAACACAAUGCUAGUGAUUGUGUAAUUUUGAUUUCAACCUAAAGUUUACAAGCAUUUUUACGACAAUUAAUAUUCCUAUAAAAUUCCCCUAUUUACUUUCUAACUACAUCGGUAAGUUUUUGACAUAGAUUUGUCCUAUUCCCUGUGGGUUUGAUCCCAACCUUUGUUGAGUUCUUUAUUUGACAAUGAUUACGUUAUACUUUUUAGGAGGUGUAAUUUGGGAUACAUCAAGUACUCAUGGCUGUGAUACUCAUACUACACUUUUGUACAUGUUUAGUCCAGAUUUGAGUACUAGUGUCCAUCAUUGAUGUUGAGAUUGUGUUGAGUUCAAAGAUAGAGUUAGCUCUUGGAGUUGAAGUUUCCUUUUUCCUUCUAUUAUUUAUGUCUAGUCUUUCACUAUUUCAGACAUAUUUGAAUUUAACUAUUUCAGUACUUAUGUUCCUUUUGUUGUUUGCUCUUGUACCGACACUACUAGGUGGUAGGAUAGUUAUUGAUAUUUUAUCUAUCUCUUAGACUAUCAUUAUUACUUGAUUAUUAUUGUCAGUCUUUAAUUGUGAAUUUCUGCUUUUACACCAUUUUCCAAUAAAGUAGCCCAUUGCUUAUGGCUCUAGGCUACGGUUCGACUUACCUACUAGUAGGAUAAAGUAGGUUCCAUCAUGACUCAUAAAUCAGAUCAUGAUAAAUUCGUAUUAGAGCCCAGGUUUGCCUAUAUUAUUGAUACAAGAACAAAUGUCUAGUAAAGUCCCACAGAUCAGAAUAAUGACAUCGGUUUCUUAUCUUUGAGAGGCUAUAGGACCAUCUUCGUGGGUUUUCACUUCUUUUACUCAUUUUAUGCUAAGGUUCUGAGAUAUUCUUUUGGUUUUACUCUUCUAUAGAUGGCUAGGACACAUGCUAUUGCUACAUAAUAUGAGGACUACGAGGCCACACCUAGGGAUUCUAUUGUAGUCUGUGGAUGAUAAGAGGUUGAGGACAGUCUAGACGUAAAUCCCCAUCUAAGGAGUAGGAUAGAGGACCUUCUCCAAACCCUAUUGCUACUCUGGAGAUAGAUUUUUCUACCCCCGCUAGCAAUGGGCUGGACUAGCCCAGGCUUCAUCAGGCUUUGUUUCUUCUUCAGUGUUUAGGGAUGCAUUGGUUUAGCUUUUGGCAUUAGUUGGUGGUGCACCAUCUAAUGGUGCACAAUCUACAUAUUGUAGUGGUACUGAGGCAAAGGCACAACCUAUAGCUACGACACCCAGUGUUAAGGUCCCUCCUACACUAAUAGCUUCUCAAACAGUAGUUGCUCAGCCACUGGUUGUCCAGUGCUAUACCUUAUUUUGAUGAUGAUCAGCUGACAACAAGGGACAAGGUCCCUGGGUAUUUAUGAGUUUAGUACUACUGUCACUUUGCAUAAUUGUCUUUUAAUGUAACAAACUAUGAUGGUGAUCUUGUACCUUUUAAGACAGCUAACCUAAUUGUCUUUAUACCCUAAUAAUUAUCUAACUAUAAAUAGAAAAGACUUUUUUUCAAUUCAAUAAUUUUUCAAUUAGAUUGUUCAAUGAGAGAAAUCAACAAAAAAUCAAAUAUUGCUUAAGUCCCAAUCUUUUGUAUGCUGAGAAAGCGUGUGUUCUUGAGUCAAGUCUUGGUCUGUAAUUGAACUACUUGUGUUAUAAAAAUAAUGCUUUUCUUUUGUUCUUGAGAGUACUUAGGUAGAGUUUCCUAAGUAGUUAUUAGUUAGAGUUAAUCAAUAUUGAGGUGAGUUCUUGGCAGAGUUGUCAAGGUAGGUUUAUAAUAGAGUCGUUACCAACUUGUGCAUCUUAAAGUUAAGUUCCUAUUAGAGUCUAUAAUCAAUAAUUCGAUUAUAGUGGAUUGUUGGGUGCUUGUAAGGGAAAGCUGUGGUUUUUCCUCCCUUGAAAAAGGAGGUUUUCACAUUAAAUUUUUGUGUUCUUUAAUUUACUACAAUGUUUUGUUUCCUUACUGCUUCAUUGUUUGAUUGCUUGUGUCUGACUCUAAGGGACAUGAUCCCUCAUAGUAUGGUGCAACCCCCCAUGUUUAAUUAAUUGGUGUCAGAGCAAGGAAACUCUAAAGGUUUAUAGCUAGAGUGUUUUAUUGAUCAUGGCAACUCCACCUAAUCUCAAAGAAGGAUAAUAUAUGACUAGACCACCCCGCUUUAAUAGGAAGUACUAUUUGUAGUGGAAAACUAGGAUGUAUUACUUCAUUAUGGCCAUUGAUAAUGAGCUGAUGGUUGUAAUACUUGAUGAUCCUCAUGUGCUUGUUAGAGAUGUCAAAGAAUGUGACAUAACAAGGAAGGUUUUCAAAACUAGGAGAGAGUUUGAUGAAAAAGAUCGAAAGAGUGUUGAGAAGAAUUACAAGGCAAAGAAAUUGCUUGUCUAUGGCAUAGGACCUAAUCAGUAUAAUAGGAUUUUUGCUUGUGAAAAUACUAAAGAAAUCUGGGUUUUCCUAAAGAUUACUCAUGAAGUAACAACUAAUAAAAUGGAUUCAAAAGUUGACAUGCUGACUACUCAGUAUGUAACCUUUUUACGAAGGACAUAGAGAUAAUUCAAGAAAUGCAUAUAAGAUUCACAUCCAUAAAAAAUGACCUGCACUUCUUAGGAGAAGUGAUUCCUUUAUAUAAGAAAGUGAAAAAAAUUCUAAUUGGUAAAGUGAUGACUUGUGAGCUCAGGAAGCAGUAAGGAAAAGAGAAGAAGGAAGCAAAAAAGGAAAAAUAUUUGGCUUUGAAGGCUUCAAAAUAUGAUUCAAGUGAAGAAGAUACUGAUGUUUCCUAAUUAGCAAAAAGGGUUGUUAGUGCUAGAAAGAAAAAUGGUCUAUUUCAAAAAAGAGAAAGUAGCAGCAAGAAGGGAGGCAAUGUUGAAGUUUGUAAUAAAUUUGGAAGUCCUGAGCAUUUCAUUAAGGAUUGUCCAAUACAAAAAAUGGAUUACAAGAAUAUCUCAAGAUUGGGGGUAACAAAGGAAAGAAUAGGGACCAGGUCCUCGUAAAAUCAAAAAGAAAGGCUAUAGCUAAUUAUGAUGUAAAGCAGGCCCUAGUAGUAUGGGGAUAUUCCUCCAAUGAAUCUGAUGAAGCUAAAUAGGUUGAAGAUGUGUCUAUGAUGGUUGUGGAGGAGUUUGAAGUUACCUAUGAUUCCUAGUUUGCUCUCAUGGAAAAUACAAAAGAUGAAAAAAAAAAUGAGGUAACUCUCUUUAACAUUAAGGAAAACUUAAAUAACUACUAUACCAGAAAGAUAAGGAAUCUAGAAAAUAUGUUGAUUGAUUGUUUAUGUGAACUGACUAUUAAGAAAAAUCCUCUAGAAGAUAAAGUAGAGAAUUAGGACCUUGAAUUAAUUACUUUAACUUUCCAGAUAUCUGAAAGAGUAGAACAGUGUACUAAGUUAAAAUCUAAGAAUCUGAGUUUAAUAAGUCAACAGGAGAAAGUAAAUAAUUCUUAUGAUAAAGGGAAGAAAGAAGAUUUAAGGUUUUAGAUUAAGGUUGCAAAAAAAUUGAGAGAUUCUCAAAAGUACUUUAUGAAUGCCCUCCAUAAGAAUGAAGAGUUAGAAAGGGAACUAACUCGUAUAAGGGAAGAACAUAACAAAUUACUAAAAUGGACCACAUCCUCUCAAAUCAUUUCUAAUUAACUAGUCAGAGUGUUAAUAAUGGUAAAGGGCUUAGAUAUCAGUAUUAAACCUAAUCACUUAGGUCUCAAGGGGAAGCUGUUCAUGAUAUUAGAAAUAGGGUCCAAGAACCUCUAUGUACUCAUUGUGGAAGAGAUAGACACAUGAAUGAAAACUAUCAGUAUUAGCUUAGAGCUAGAAUAAGCACUACUAAAUACAUCUAGAAGGAGAAUUACUAUCCUAAGGGUUUCAUGCCCUUGUAAAAUAUAAAGAGAGGAACUCUUUACCCAGAUGGGCGAAGAAAACUUUGAUCACACCUUUGUCCUUCUAUUGGUAACUGAAACUCAAGGGGAUUCCUAAAUCUAACAAAUGACUACAUUUGCUGGUAGGGGGGAGGGAAUGUAGUUAAAACUAGUUCAUGGAUAGUGGAUGUUCAAAGCAUAUGACAUGGAGAACUAACUGCUUUCUUUCUCCCAAGACACUUCAAGGUGGAGGUGUCUCUAUUGGAAAUGGUAAAAAGAAAUUAUAUCCAUCGUGUGGGAAAGAUUAGAAAAUCACCAGAUCGAGUAAUAUAAGAUGUGUAUUAUGUGAAUGGCCUCAAGUACAGUCUUCUAAGUGUUUCUCAAAUCAAUGACAAAGGUAAUGAGGUCAAAUUCUCAACAGAUGGAUGUACUAUGUUACACUUAAAAUCUUAAAGAGUUAUUCUCGAGUCCAAGAGGAUCAAAAAUUUAUAUGUGAAUAAUUUAGAGUCUCUGCUUGAUGAGGAAUUAAAUUGAUUAAGUGUUCAAAGUAAAAUGUUGAUUUAUGGAAUAGAAGGAUGGGACAUCUAAGUUCCUCUUUAUUAAAAAAGUUGAUAUAAAAGGAAUUGGUCUAUGGCAUGGCAAAAAUGAAAUUUCCAAACAACAAGGUUUAUAAUGCUUGUGUUAAGGGAAAACAAACCAGGUCUUCCUUUAUACUGAAGAAGCAGGUGAGUACUUCUAAACCCCUAGAGAUGUUGCAUAUGGAUCAAUGUGGACCUAUUAAAGUCCAAAGUAGAGGAGGAAAAAAGUAUGUCUUUGUGACUCUAGAUGACUACUCAACGUUGACUUGGACAAUGUUUAAGACCAAAGGAUGAAACCUAUGAGGUUCUGGUUAUAUUUUCCAAGAAAAUUCAAAUGAAGCUGAAUUGUAAGAUUGUUGAAUUUAGAUUUAAUCAUGGAACUUAAUUUGAGAACUCCCAAGUUGCAGUAUUCUAUGCUGAAAAUGGAAUCAUUCAUGAUUUCUUUUCUCCAAGGACUCCUCAGUAAAAUGGUGUUAUUGAAAGAAAGAAUAAAGUCCUCAUAGAGAUUACAAGGACCAUGCUGAUUUAUAGUGAGCUUCCGAAGAACCUUUGGGUUGAAAAUAUUAACACUUACUGCUAUGUGGCCAAUAGAUGUUUUAUUAGAUCACUUCUAAAUAAGACCCCGUAUGAGCUUGUGUUUAAUAGAUAGCCUAAGCUUGACUACUUCAGACCUUUUGGGUGCAAAUACUUUUUUCUAAAUAAUGGGAAGAAUGAUCUAGGAAAAUUUGACUCAUAAAGUGAUGAAACACUAUUUGUGGGCUAUUCUUCAAUAGGCAAAGCAUACAGAGUUUUCAAUAAAAGAAAUUUGUAUGUUGAAGAAAGUGUGCAUAUGGUCUUUGAUGAGUCAGGAAAGUUAAUGAAUCUAGGUGAUGGUGAAGAUUCAGAAAUAAAAGAACUCAUUCAUGUUCAAAGAGAUGACAUUGCUGAAGAUGAUGGUCGAGGACUAAAUAAUGCAAAUGAGAAUGAUGAAAGUGAUGGUGAUCUGGGAUCAAAGUCAUAGAAUCCAACUUACGUUGAAGAACAAAAAGAAGGGUCCAGUCAAACUAAUCAAAAACCUAGUCCUAGUGGAACUCAUCUUAGAAGGUCAAACUGGAGGCAUAAAUCUCCUUAUUCAUUGGAGAAUCUGACAACACCUUUGGAAUUUGGAGUCCAAACAAGAGCUCAAGCAAGAAAUGCAUGGCAUUUUUAGCAUUCUUAUCCAAAAUUAAGCCAAAAUAUGAAAAAGAUGUUGAGGCUGGGGUUGAUCAAAUAACCUGACCUAAUAGAUAAAUUAGUUUUUCUCCCUACAAUUAUCUAUGAUCAGGUGAGAAGUAUCUACAGUAAAGUAGGUAAAUAUUGGUCUAACUCAGUACCAUACCAUUGAAGAUUUACACCUAUGGUAACAAAUUUAGAAGAGAACAGAUGUGACUUGUAGAAAUUUGGGGAUUCUCUCAAGAAAAAGAGGGGUCUGGUCCUAUCUCUCAGGUUAGCACCAAAAUAGUGUGCCUUGAAAAUCAUAAAAUCCUUUCUAAAAAUCCAUGCGUUCUUCUAUCUCUGGGUAAAAGCUGUCAAUUAUUUAGCUAGAUGAAGGGUCACACCUAUUAGAAUUGAACACGUCAUUUCAUUCCAAAAGACACCUAUUAAUGACAACUAUUACCUCACUUAAUCACAAAACCAAAUUCAUCUCUUUUUAUUCUGAUCCAAAAUUAACUCAAAUGAUUUUAUUCAAUCAUCCUUCAUCAUUGAAUUGACCUUGUCCCUUUCUCUUUCCGUUACAAAAACUUGAAUGGCAGACAUUCCCUAAAGACUCAAAAGUUAAUGAAUCCCUAGAAAAUCAAUCUAGAAACCCCAAAUCUAACUUUUUGAUCCUUAAAUACCUAAAACCAAAAAAGAUGUCUCCUUAAUUCCUCAACAAGAACCUAUGUUAACUUUGCCCACUGAAUCUUAUUCAAAAUUUCCAGAACCCCUAAAAUGAGUCUGUUUCUGUCAAAACUUCCUCAACCAUUAAAUUUUUUGCUGAGUCAACCAUGGUAGAGGAUUUGAAUAAGGUUUUGGUUCACUAAUUGAACAAGAAAUCUCUCAAUCUGAAGUUCAUCUUUACUCAGAAGAACCAAAAUUACCUAAAGACUCCCAAAUCCCUAUUUCUUCUAAAGAACCAGAGAAAAGAAAACUCUCAAGAACCCUAUAAGUACCUAUUUCUCCUACUCCCUCAGAGUCAAACCCUAUUUUUCCCAACUGUGUAAGGAAUAAAUACAAGUAAAGAGGUAUGGUCUUUCUAGCAGUAUAAAUUAGGUUGCUGGAAAUUUACUUUUUCUUGCAAAUAAUCCCAAGGAAUGCUCCUUUUGUAUUGAAUAAGAAAUAGUAGGUGAAAAGGAUAAUCUGACAAAGGAUGGGGAAAUUAUGUUACCUUUAAAUGAAGAAGAUGAGGAGGAUGAGAAUGAAUUACCUCUAAGAUGGUCUAUGAAGAAAAAAAUAGGAGAAAAAACAAAUAAAAGUCGGUUAAUACUACUGUGAAGGUUUCUAGAUCGUAUUCUAUUAAGGUAUCUAAAAAAGUUGUUAGCAGAUGCUAUGAAGGCUAGCAAGUUUUCGACCUCUAAGAGAAUAAGACUCAAGAAAGUUGUUGUACUAGAGGAUGAUAAUGUUAAGAUUGUAGAGGUUGGAGAGGGUAAGGACAUUGAUCCUGUUGUGGCUGCUGCAACUGAGAAAAGAAGAAAAGAAAUUCACAUUAUAAGAAGGACUAGGUCUUUUCAUUUAAAUUUUGUUAGCCCUGUAGGAAUGAAAUAGAAGCACAUUAUUGUUAAGAAAAAGAAAGUCUGUGAGGGACCUUGUCCUAACAAGAUAAAAUCCAUUGAAAAGAAUCAAGCAGUGAUUCCAAAAAAAGAAGAAAGGAAGAAAAAAUGAAGGAUUGCUCUAGAGGGAAAAGAAAUGAAAUUUGAAAACUCAUAAAGAUUUUCUGGUAGAGUGUUUGAUCCAAGGAUUUAUGAGAAACCUAGCAUGAAAGAGUUAGUGGAAUAUGUCAAACACCAGGGAUGGGUAUACCUCAUUGAGGAACUAACUCCCAUAGAUUUUAAGAAGGAAGUAAGAUAAUUCUAUUAUACAAUAGAUUUCUUAGAUGAUGGGUUAAGUUUGACUGCCCAGGUGCAAGGAAAGAAAAAAAAACUGGAUGAAGAAGCACUCCAAAAAAUUUUGGAUGUGCCUAUUAUGGGUGGGAGGACUAUUGUGAAACAACAACCCUUAAUUAAUUUUAUCAUUGAAACCUCAAAUAUGGGAGGGAAUUAGUAUCCGAGGUGAGAAAGAAGUUUAUCAUAACUGAGUUUCAACUGGUGUUUGAAUUUGUCAACAAGUUUAUUCUGCCAUUGUCAAAUAAAAGGACUAUAGCCUCUGCUGUUGAUUAAUUUUUGAUUGAGUAUUUGAGCAAACUUGAGUUGAUAAGUUUGCCUGCACUUACGAUAGAGCACAUGAAUAAGAUUAUACAUGACCAGGAAAAAAUACAUAGGAUGCCUUAUAGGUACCUCUUAAACAAGGUGUUUAAUUAUUUUAGAGUGGUUGGGACUAAAAGGAAUCUUGGAAUAGUCAAACAAAACUUCAGUCUAACAACAUUGGUGGAAAAUGAAUGCAUAGAAGAAAAAGUGGGAACUGUGUCCCAAGUGUCAUAGCUAUAGGUUGAUCAGGAAAACAUAAGAAAGAAAAUAGAGGAGGUGAGGAUUAAGUUAGAUGCUAAGGAUAUAAAUUGAGGAUGAAGUACACUUGAAGAUGUAAAAUCAUAAGUUAUCCUCAGAGGGACAUGGUGCUAUUGAGGAAUUACCGCAUAAAAUGCAAAGCUCCAGACUAAGGUUGUAGAACUAAUAAGAAGGUUCAACGGAUGAAUGAAGAAGUUAAAGACCUCACUAAGCAAUUAUUGAAUGCUAAUGCUGCAGAAAGUUCUAGAAUGGAGUUGUUUCUAAUAUCCUUCUACCCCAAGCUACCUAUACCUAAGUCAUAUCAUCCCUGUGUCACUUUAUCAUCCCUAUGUAACUUUGUCAUCCCUGUGUCAGUUCCAGUUCUUAUUUCUAGUGUGGCUUUUGAUGAAUUAGAUAUUUUAUGUUUAUUUUGGUAUGUUAUAAUGGUACUAAUCUUUUUAAAAAUGAACAAAUCCUUUGUUUAUAUGUUGCAUUUGCUUCUUCCUUACUUUAAAGUUGUCCAUCAUAUUAGUGUUGCUCCAAUGGCCAUGAGUUAACUAAACUAUGCUUAUUUUACUCUUGAUUUACCAUUAUUACUUUUCAAUGAUGCCAAAUGUGUUGGACGUUGAAAGGCAGAUUAAUAGGGAGAAGAAUAUUGGUGGAGAAUUAUGGCAUAUUGACAGGGUGAAGAAUGUUGGUGCAUGAUAAUAGGGGAUGGAGGAACUUUCAUCGACAGUAAAGGUG
rnacentral:lncRNA from 1 species